GCAUCGGCUGAGGAUGAGGACAGUUCUUGCGUUCUUGGGUCCAUCUUUCGGCACGGAAGAUGGCUUGGCAAGUUAGGCUGCCUCUCGCUGUUUGGGGCACACCCUCUGGUCGCCAGUUGCAACCGUCAUGCGCCGUGGGUCCCAGCGCUCCGUGACACGAUGUUCGUGACAAUUUCGGGUAAAGUGAAAUCCCUCCCAUUUUUCAAUAUUUGUGUGUGAGUGCGUGAGAGAGAGAGAGAAGUAAUUUGAACAGAAAAAUAGUGACAUGCUUUUCGUUCUGAAAAAAAUGAAACCAAUAUUUGUGUGUGUUUCAGUAACUGGGGCAUGACUCUGUUUUCCCCCUCUGGUUGUGGUGCUCAACAGGAGAGUGCUCUUAUGUUGUGGCUUCCAGAUGCAAUUAAGGCUAUUUUCAAGCAUCCUUUUUGCUGCUUCUGAAUAUGCGCUGUGCCUCUGCACUUUAUGUUUAAGAGCAGGAAAUCUUGGAUUUAAAUCUGUUGAUUUAAAGCAGAGUCCAGCGGAAGGAUGAGGAAAAUGUGCUGCAUACUCUAUAUUGCUUUAUUUACAGUUCAAAGCUGGUAUAUUACAGAAAGACAUCUUGCCUCUGCAAGAGCAGAAAAUGCAUCCUCUCUCCUCGACAGCUCGGAGAGAAUCACACAGUGAAAAAACAGGAAACCAGUGUACGUCACAUCCAGUCUCCCUUUCCCGUGAGAAACUCCAACAGUACAGUACAGUACAGACUGUGGAAUGUAAACACCUGUCUUGUGACUGCAGUUGCUGCACAGUGAAGGAAAGCAGAAACUAACAUCCUCCCCCUUUCUGUGAACAUCACUGGGCAGCGUGUUCGUACAAUAUCAGUACAAACCCAACUUCUGCACAUAGGUACAGUGUUGAUCCCUCGAUACAAUCUUGGACAAUACAUCAGCAGGAAUUUCAUUACCUGGCAUAUAGGACACCGUUACGAGUCCCUUCUGAAUACAUUCCCUAGCAUGCUGCAACUUUAAUUGUAAGUGCUUUGUGCUUUGCUUACAACCUUCAGACUUCAGCAAAGCCAAACAUGCUUUGUUGUCCUGGUAAACCUGGAUUGGACAUUUGACAGGAAUUUUCAUAUCUUUGCACAAUUGUACUAACCAUUCACAAUCCUUAAGUGAAUAAGACAGUGCAUUCAGUUCGGCUUCACAAGUACUUAAGCUAACUGUUGUUUGCUUCUUGCAUGACCAAUCAAACAGACUCUGAUUGUACAUAUAGCAAACUCCAGACGUACUUUUCCUGUCUGUAGCGUCACUUCCAAAACUUGCAUCUGCAAAUAUCUCAAGACCACCAGACUUCUGAUUGUUAAAUCUCAGUCUGUAAUGCAUAGUGCCUUUCAAAUACCGCGCUAUGCGUUUCAGAGCUUUCCAAUCCUUGACACUCGGAUUGUUGACUUGUCUGCUUAGCAAAUUACAGCUAACAGCAAUGUCUGGUCUUGAACAUCUGGCAAUGAAGUUUAGCUUGCCUAGCACACUCCUGUACAGUGUAGUGUCAGAAAAUGCUUCUUCAGUGUCAUCUACCUGAUAACUUGUUGUCAUCGGUGUGUCUACAGGGUUAGCAUCCAUCAGAUUUAGUUUGCUUAACACAUCAGCAAUUUUCCGUGACUGGUGUACUAGAAUGUUACCAUCUUGAUCUCUCUCUAUUUCCAGAGAUAGGUAGUUGUUUACCUCACCAAGAUCUUUCAUGUCAAAGUGCUCUUUCAGUUGAGCUAGGCGCUAUUGUACAUUGCAACAUCUUUCCAAAAGAAUAAUAAAUCAUCAACAUAAAACAAACAGUACAGUUUCUUUUGCCCCUCCUCUUUGACAAAUACACAUGGAUCAGCUUUCCCUUGCUGAAAACCUAGAGAAAACAAUACUUCAGUGAGUUUUGUGUGCCAACACCGUGCACUUUGUUUGAGACCAUAAAGGGAUUUCUUCAGAGCACAAACAAAUCCCUGUUUUACCUGUACGCCAUCAGGUGGAAGCAUAUAAAGUGAUUCAUCUAGAGAUCCGUACAGAAAAGCUGUAUUAAUAUCAUGGUGACUAAUGUGUAGAUUUUCCUCUGCAGCUAGCUUGAGCAUAAGCCUAAUGCUUUCAUAUCUCACUGUGGGUGAAUAGGUCUCGUGAUAGUCUUCACCUGGUACCUGUGCAAAACCUCUGGCUACCAAUCUGGCUUUGUGUCUGACUAUCUUGCCAUUUUGAUCUGUCUUCGCUUUGAAGACCCAUUUGCUUCCAAGCAGUUUCAUUCCUGGAACUACUGGAACUAGCUCCCAUGUUUUGUUCCUUUCUAAGGAAUCAAGCUCAGCCUUCAUGGCAUUUAACCAUGGCUCAGCUUCCUUUGAAUCCAAACCCUGGAUUUCUUGGAAACUUGAAGGUUCAAAUACCUUCUUGGAGCUUUUAACAGCUGUUACUGCUAUCGUAGCAAACUCAUCAGCAAAUCUCUUUGGAGGUUUGCCUUUUGUGGCUCUCUGUGACCUACGAACUAUCCUUAAGUCUUCAACACUCUCCUCUUCCUUCUUAGGAGAAAAACGACCUAUUGUGAACAAUGGUUCCUCCAAUUCUUGAUCAGAGCUUUCAGAGGGUCGCAUAGAGGCUUUCGCACUCUUGAAAUCCUCUGAAUCACCCGAUUCAGUUUCAGAUUCAGACUCAGAACCUUCAUCAGUGGGUGUGGGCUGUUGUGGUUGCUUUUGACUAUCCUCAGUCUCAUCACCGUCAUCAGGAUAACAUUGGAAAAUUCCCACAUUCUCCCCACUUGGCAUUGUACUCGACACUUCUCGUGAGCUUAAUUGUCUUAGAGUCAGUCAUCAUUAUUCUGUAAGACCCUUUCUGAUAACCUAGAAAGAUACCAUGCAAUCCACGCUUGUCUAACUUGGAGUUUUGUGGUGAGCGAACCCACAUGUCAGAACCAAAAAUCUUCAUGUGUUUGAUGUAUGGCUUCUUGCCAAACAUCUUCUCAUAGAAGUACAACCAAUCGCUGAAGAUAGCCUGCGAUUGUAACUGUAAACAAAACACGAGAGAGAUUCGGCCCAAUAACUCUCUGGAAGAUUGGCAUCAUGCAGCAAGGUUUUUAAUCCUUGAAGCAAUGUCUGAUUUGCCCGUUCCGCAAGUCCAUUCUGCCAUGGCGAGCGAGGACUAGACAAAUCGUGUUGAAUUCCUUUCUCAGUCAGAAAAGCUUCAAACUGCUGAGAAGUGAAUUCCCCCCCGCGAUCACUGAAAAGUGUCUUUAUCUUCUUACCAUGCACAUUUUCCAACCAAGCACAGAAUUCCUUGAACCUAGGAAAAGCCUCCGAUUUCUGCUUGAGAUUGUACACAAAAAUAUAUCUAGAAAAUGCAUCAAUGAGAACCAUGAAGUAUCUAUUUCCACCCAAAGAGGGCGUAAGUGGUCCAACCAAAUCAGCAUGAACAACCUGGUAUGGUUCUGUAGCUUUCCUACUAGACACCUUACCUUUCGUAGCCAUUUUCACCUUGUUUGCUGCGCAUGCUUUGCACUUCAUGUGGUACCUGCAGGGUUUAAUAGUCAUACCUUCAACCAAGGCAGGCAUUUUAGAUACUGCCUCAAAAUGCAAAUGACCAAAUUUGCGAUGAAAAUCGUGAAUACAUUCUGCAUGUAAACUUUUGUUAGAACCUGCAAUGCAACAAGUGUCAUCCUGCACCACAUCAUCAUAAUACAAAACAAACAAACGAUCAACAUAUUCUGCAUGCAAUACAUAAUCAUUUUUCUUUGUGAUGAUGCACUUCUUGUUCUUGAAGGAAACGUCAAUGUUCCGCUCAUUCAGCUGUCCAACGCUGAGCAGAUUAUGUUUGGCGUCUGGCACGUAAAGCACAUUCUGUAUCGAUAAGUCCAAACUGUGAAGAACAACAGUUCCGUAGCCUUUACUGGGAAUAGUGUGGUCAUCCGCCUGGUGAAUCGCACCUUCCUGCGGUGUAAAAGACACAAACAGUUUCUUAUCGUUGCACAUGUGGUGGGUCGCCGCUGAAUCAACAACGAAGAAAGAUCUAGACGUCUUCUGGACCUCUGCAACCUUUGGAGUGAAGCGUGAAACCAUAGCCUUGUGCUGCGUUGUCCUUGACACCGGACCUUUGCCUUUGCCUCGGCCUUUCCGCGUGAUGAGCUUUCGCUGCGCUGCUCUGUCUUGGCCCUGGGAUGUCUGCAUUCCCUCUUCAUAUGGCCUAGACGUCCACACGUGUAGCAUUUCACUGCCUUCAAAGCUUUGGCGCCAUCUGGUGGUUCCACUGCACUAUGGGAUGACGUCUGUGAAGACUCCCCUUGCCCAUGCAGCUAGCACCCCGGCGAUCUGCUUCAUUUAAAAUCACGGCAGUAACAAAGUCCACUGUCAGCUGAGCAGUUGGUUGCACAGCAAUCUGGGUUGCAACAGACUCCCAACCUGAACCCAAAGAUUGUAGUAUCAUGAAAGAAUACACAGCCUCUGGAAAGUUGAGUCCUCUCUGUUGCAGCUCAUGUCUCAGAUUUUGCAUCUCCAUCAGAUGUAAACGCACAUCUCCACCUUCAGCAAGAGCCAUAUUAUGCAGCUUGUUAAAGUAGAACAUAGUUGAUCCAGCUUCUGUCCUUAAGUGAGCCUCUCUCAAAGCGUCCCAAAUUUCUCUGGCUGAGGUCUUAUCACGCAAUAGACAGAGCUCUUCUGGGGAUACUAUCAAUGUAAGAGUUCCCCUUGCUUUGGAAUCCUUAGCUUCCCAUGCAUCUGUAACUGGAACUGGGGGUUGCUGUAAUCACCUCAAACAAACCCUCUUUCCGCAGAAUUGCCUCUGCAUACUGAACCCAGUCGCUGUAAUUUUUCUUAUUGAGCUUAGGAAUCCUACAAGCAUCCUGAAGGGCCAUCAUGACUCUGGCAUUAGCCUUCAGCGUCAUAUGCUGCUUUAAAUCUUGCUGCGUCACUGCUGCAGCUGCCUCAUUACAAAGGCACACUUAAAAGUUACUUCGAUUUCCCCAGCAUAGUGACUUGUGCCUGGGAGCCUUUUGCCUAUUCCCGGCAAAACCGGCUUUAAAAGUUCAAAGUCCAGCCAUAAAGCCAUUAUCUUGAAGCUGGCAGGCUGCCCGGAGCAGUAGCACAUACCUCAUCAAUCACUUCUACGCGCAGAGCAGAUUCCUUUCCGAUCCGUCCCUCCCUCUGCAUUCCGAUCCUUUUGCCGGCACUCCGAUUCGACCUCUGGGCCCAUAACCACGUGUUGAUUUAAAGCAGAGUCCAGCGGAAGGAUGAGGAAAAUGUGCUGCAUACUCUAUAUUGCUUUAUUUACAGUUCAAAGCUGGUAUAUUACAGAAAGACAUCUUGCCUCUGCAAGAGCAGAAAAUGCAUCCUCUCUCCUGGACAGCUCGGAGAGAAUCACACAGUGAAAAAAACAGGAAACCAGUGUACGUCACAUCCAGUCUCCCUUUCCCGUGAGAAACUCCAACAGUACAGUACAGUACAGACUGUGGAAUGUAAACACCUGUCUUGUGACUGCAGUUGCUGCACAGUGAAGGAAAGCAGAAACUAACACUCGGAGCCUCUUAUUGUCCCUCCGUUUUAAAAAUAACUACCCUCCUUAUCUAGCGAAGGAUGCCUCCGGCAAUAGCAGGAAUGCAUUCCCUCGGUUUGAGUCAUAGCGAAAUAGCAUGGAGGGAAAGAGAAAGGAGAUGUUGACAAGGAGACCCUGGAUGGCGAAGCUUUAAAUUCAGCCCUUGCACGGGAGAAUUGGCAAUACGGCUUUGGAUGAGAUUUACGUUUAUCUCCUCCGGUGAGAGCCGCUUUCCGAGCAUCUGCUGACGUAUUCUGCCUUGAACGAAGGGAGCUUUAUAUAACCCACUUCAGCUGGGGCACUUCCGUUGCUCCUUUCAUUCUUUGCACCCCGGAAAGUAGAAGUUCGGUGCUGCAGCAGCACAUUUUAGCGACCCUCCUGCUGCCGUUUCCCCAAAUCAUUUGGCAAACCUAGAAGCCUGGCUUAUUACAGGUGUGUACAUUUCCUUGGGGACGUGGGUGGCGCCGUGGGUUAAACCACAGAGCCCAGGGCUUGCCGAUCAGAAGGUCGGCGGUUCGAAUCCCCGCGACGGGGUGAGUUCCCGUUGCUCGGUCCCAGCUCCUGCCAACCUAGCAGUUCAAAAGCAUGUCAGAAUGCAAGUAGAUAAAUAGGUACCGCUCCAGUGGGGCCAGUAAAGCGAGAUGAGCGCUGCAACCCCAGAGUCGGCCACGACUGGACCUAAUGGUCAGGGGUCCCUUUACCUUUACGUUACAUUUCCUUGAGAGCAUCUGGUCCAAGGAGGAACUCGCUUUUCAAUCAGGUGCUUCACCUGUUCCUCCCAAAAGCUUAAGCCCACCAUUUCCCAACUGAACAUUAAAGGUAAAGGGACCCCUGACCAUUAGGUCCAGUCAUAACCAACUCUGGGGUUGCGGCGCUCAUCUCGCUUUACUGGCCGAGGGAGCCGGCGUACAGCUUCCGGGUCAUGUGGCCAGCAUGACUAAGCCGCUUCUGGCGAACCAGAGCAGCGCAUGGAAACGCCGUUUACCUUCCCACUGGAGCUGAACCUAUUUAUCUACUUGCACUGGUGUGCUUUCGAACUGCUAGGUUGGCAUGAGCAGGGACCGAGCAACGGGAGCUCACCCCGUCGCGGGGAUUCGAACCACUGACCUUCUGAUCGGCAAGCCCUAGGCUCUGUGGUUUAACCCACAGCGUCACCCGUGUCCCUGUGACGCACUGGGAAUUGUACAAAAAGAACUGAACAUUAGUAAUUAUUUUGGCCCUGUUUUGUGGAUCAGAUCGUAACAGAUAACAUAUCUUUGGACCAGUUCCUAUUUCUAAUGCCCUGCAAAGACUUGGUUUAUCUUUUACAAAUAUAAGAAUGCAGAAUCUGGAUAGAUGCAGAUGCAUGCACAUCAGACUCUACUUCUGUUUUCUUCUUCGGUCUGAACUCUGCUGCCCGAGGAAUACAAAGUUCAAGCUUGCAAAGCUUUUAGUGGGCUAUGUAAGCAAUUUAUUUUCAUCUUACAUCUGAAAUAUAAAGGCCUUUUGAUUUUGUUAGCUUGGUUCAUAAUACCGAAAGCAGAAAGGUAUUUUGUCACUUCUAAAGAGUAAUGAAUUGUAUUAUGAUUAGGGAUAGAAAAAGGAAUUGGGCCUUGUUUGCAUUUGCAUGCAAAUCUAAUUAAUCCAUGUGUCCUGAAGCGAUAUGUGAAACAAAAUGCAACUCUUCUUCAAAAUCUGCACUUCUGUAACCAUAAAAAAUGUGCAUAUUAUGGGAAUGUGUGCUUCCCAUAAUAUUAUGGGAAUGUGUGCUUCCCAAGAAUGCAUAUAUUAGUGAGAAAAACAUAGGAAUAUGCACUGUAUUAGGGGAAAUCACUUGCAAAAUCUGCACGUUGGGCAAAAUUGCAAAGAAAAAUAUGUGUGUUAGGAUUAAUGGAUGCUAAAGCACUGACGAAUCUCUGGGAGGAUUUUAAAUAAAACAUCUAGAAAGCGAUGUGGAAAUGAGGCAAAUGGAACCUAUGUUUGAAAAACGAGAAACGAAAAUGGACAGAUCCACACUAUAAAUAUUUGUGAACGAGGUUGCGCUUCUGAGAAAGUGGACUCCGGUCAACAGAAACGUUUGCCGUAAUAAAUUUAUUGUGCCUUUUAAGAUGCCUCAAGACUCUUGACUGGUUUGGCAGCUGUAGAGCAGCAGAGCUACCUCUCUGGAAAUUGGGGGAAAGCAAAGUUCUCUUCUGGGGCGAGGUGCAGUUGCGCAGCUAGAUAAGGAAUAUACAGACAGCUUUGACACUGGUAAUCAUGUUGUGCGGAUGCCUGAUUAUCGUCUUCCAAAGCAACUACUCUAUUCCGAACUUAAAAAUGGAAGGCGUAAUGCUGGUGGUCAGCAAAAGAGGUUUAAAGACUGUCUCAAGGCAAAUCUUUAAAAAAUGUUGUAUAAACACCGACAACUGGGAAGCACUGGCCUGCGAGUGCUCCAACUGGAGAACAGCCUUUACCAAAGGUGUCAUGGGCUUUGAAGACACUCGAACUCAGGACGAAAGGGAGAAACGUGCUAAGAGGAAGGCAUGCUUGGCAAAUCCACACCGUGAUCAACUCCCACCCGGAAACCUAUGUCCCCACUGUGGAAGGACGUGUGGAUCCAGAAUUAGCCUCCACAGUCACUUACGGACUCAUCGUUAAGACCAUUUUCACGGAAGACAAUCUUACUCAGCUAGGUAAGGUAAAGGUAAAGGUAAAGGUACCCCUGCCCGUACGGGCCAGUCUUGACAGACUCUAGGGUUGUGCGCCCAUCUCACUCAAGAGGCCGGGGGCCAGCGCUGUCCGGAGACACUUCCGGGUCACGUGGCCAGCGUGACAAAGCCGCAUCUGGCGAGCCAGCGCAGCACACGGAAACGCUGUUUACCUUCCCGCCAAUAAGCGGUCCCUAUUUAUCUACUUGCACCCGGGGGUGCUUUCGAACUGCUAGGUUGGCAGGCGCUGGGACUGAGCAACGGGAGCGCACCCCGCCGCGGGGAUUCGAACCGCCGACCUUUCGAUCGGCAAGCCCUAGGCGCUGAGGCUUUUACCCACAGCGCCACCCGCGUCCCUACUCAGCUAGGAGUGAUCGCCAAAGAAGAAUAAAUGCACACAGCAUAUGCAAGAACAUUGAACCCCACAUCGUAUCUGAAACCCUCUUGCGGUCAAAGCUCUCCAAUACAAACACACAUGCGGAAUAGUUGCGAUGGAACUGGAAGCAUCUUUGCCUGCCUGCUAUGCCAAAAAGCUCUGUGUACUAACAGACGGUAGUGGCUGCUGGGGCACCCGGCGUAAUAAAAUUUGGCCGGAGACGUGAUGUUCUGCUAGGCUAAUGACCUGUGAAAGUAUGGAAGAGGGGCUUUGGUGGUUGUUAAGUGCUGCAACAGAGAAGGAAACCAAGGAUGCGUAUGGAAGGCAAGGCUGGAGCCAAGAGAUUCUUGCUUUUGCUGAUUGACUCCGCAGAUCCCGUUUUGCAGCAUUCCCCCGACAGUUGAAUGGGACCCGUCCCCUGCGGUUCCAGCACCCGGGAGGUGGCUCCAGCCCUGGGGAUGUGCCGUGGGGUCAGGGCGUGUGGAAAGGGCUUCCUGAUAAACCGGGGCCUUCGGCAUCGGAGCCGAGUCCACGAUUCUGCCGUGCGACUGUGGGAAAAUAGCUGUGGGGGCUCCAACAUGGAGUGUCUGCUCUGAGUUGCUCCAAGAACAGCUUGUUCAGGCCUUUAGUCUUUCCAAGGGGAAUGGAGGCAGCAGGAAAAGGCAGACAAAACUAUUGAAGGGGCUUCCAUGCAUGGACAAGUAGCAAAGUUUGAGGCUUUUUUUUUUAUUUAGAGAGAAGGCAAGUAAGCAGGUUUAUGUUAGAGGUGUGUGAUGUGGAGAAACUAGACGUCCUGGCUGGAUUUCUGUAUUUAUCCCCGUUUUGCUUUUUAAAUAUUGUGGGUUUGUGCACCGCUUAGAAAUUACAAGAAUAUUAAGCCGUCCAGAAAUACUUUUAAAUCAAAAAAUCUCUUACCUUUAAAGCCAAAAUAAAAUUGGGGGGAACUUAUAACAUCAAUUUUUCUAAGACAAGGUGAAAAUCCAGUCUAUUCCUAGGUAAAGGUAAAGGUAAAGGGACCCUUGACCAUUAGGUCCAGUCGUGACCGACUCUGGGGUUGCGGUGCUUAUCUCGCUUUAUUGGCCGAGGGAGCCACAGUUUCCGGGUCAUGUGGCCAGCAUGGCUAAGCCGCUUCUGGCGAACCAGAGCAGUGCACGAAAACGCCUUUUACCUUCCUGCCAGAGUGGUACCUAUUUAUCUACUUGAACUUGAUGUGCUUUUGAACUGCUAGGUGGGCAGGAGCAGGGACCAAGCAACGGGAGCUCACCCCGUCGCGGGGAUUUGAACCGUCCACCUUCUGAUCGGCAAGUCCUAGGCUCUGUGGUUUAACUCACAGUGCCACCCGCGUCCCAGUCUAUUCCUAGGGAAACACAAAAUCCCAUAUCUGGAUUCUUCAGGCAACCCGCUAGGUUUGGAUUUUACUGCCUUUUGAACUCAUUGGAGUUACUCAAAAUAUAACAGGGCAGGCAGAAGGACAAUACACACAUAUAGUACACAGGCAACAUUUGACACUUAACCCUUGGUAUUUUCUACAAUCAUUAAGAAGAUAUUAGCAGAAUGAGACCAUUGCAGCAGCAGAAGUCAGUUUGUUAAAACGCACCUUAUGAAAAGAAAAUUUUGUUUUUUCUCCAAAAUGGGAAGCGAGGGAGCUUCCUUGUGAAGACAGUCCUGUAGCUGUGGAAAGCCUUUCCUUGGUACCCGAUAAUAGAAUAAUCGAUACAGGAAGAGCACGCCUUAAAGCAUGGGCAGAGUGCCUUCUCCCCGCGCACAGAUUGACUACAGCCUGUCAUUAAGAAACAGGGGGUCAAUUGCCUACCAGCCCACCCAUUAAUCCUAGCUUGCCAACUCUUGAACUCGUUUCAGCCUUUUUUUACUUUACUGGCGGCGUGUAAAGGUAAAGGGACCCCUGACCAUUAGGUCCAGUCGUGACCGACUCUGGGGUUGUGGCGCUCAUCUCGCUUUAUUGGCCGAGGGAGCCGGCGUACAGCUUCCGGGUCAUGUGGCCAGCAUGACUAAGCCGCUUCUGGCGAACCAGAGCAGCACACGGAAACACCGUUUACCUUCCCGCCGGAGCGGUACCUAUUUAUCUACUUGCCCUUUGACAUGUUUUCGAACUGCUAGGUUGGCAGGAGCAGGGACCGAGCAACGGGAGCUCACCCCGUCGCGGGGAUUCGAACUGCUGACCUUCUGAUCAGCAAGCCCUAGGCUCUGUGGUUUAACCCACAGCGCCACCCACGUCAGCGGCGUACAAACCAUGCCUUUAAUGCAUAUUUUUAUAACAUAAUUUCCCCCAAAGAAUCCUGGGAGCUGUACUUUAUGCUUCAUAAAGCUACAAUUCCCAGCACCCUGAGCAAACUACGGAUCCCAGGGACCAUUUUCUGACAGACUCUUCCUUCCUGGUACUGACUAAAGCUCCGCGUGCCUGGCGUGCAUUUAAAGCACCCGCCCUCUAGAAUCUAGGGACGUGUAGUUUGCCACUGGCAGAGCUACAAUUCCUUAACAGACGCCAGCUCCCAGGUUUCUUUGGGUGAAGUCGCAUACUUUAAAUGCUCGGCGAAUAUGAAGCCUACAUGUGCGCAGGAUGAGUCACAGGCCGGGGUGAGCUGGAAGACUCAGAAAUGCCUGCCAAGCUCAUGGGCUCGUGUAUCACCUCUUUGUCCUCCUGGCACAAGCGAUCUCGUCAUUCGCAGUUCCACGCAGAAACACAGUGCUCUGCGAGUGACUCAAGCGGUUGAAACGCCCUGGGAUUUAUUGUCUGUGGAGUCGGGGGGCUUGCUCUGAAUUGCAAUGCAUUCACCUACAAAGCGUAUUUGAGUGUUGGAGAAUUCGGUUGGAAACUGAAAUGGGAGUGGACGUUGCCUCGGUUUUUACGUUUGUCUUGAGGUCAGAAAUGGAAAUCACGCAAGCAGAUAUGUUCACUGGGUUUUUUUUAGUCCACGAUUACUCCAUCAAUAAUUACGUUGUGUUGUGCAUUGUUUCUGACAUUUCCAUUCCGCUGAAACGCAUUGACAUCAAUUGCAAUUACAGAGGAAGCUCGGGCUGCGAAUGUGAUCUGUGCGGGAUGCACAUUCACAACCCGCAGCGCCGCGUCAGCGCAGGCGCGGGUUGCGAUUUGGCACUUCUGCGCAUGUACAAAGUGCAAUUUAGCGCUUCUGCGCAUGCGCAACCAGCAAAACCUGGAAAUAACCCAUUCUGGUACUGGGUUUUGGCGGUCCAUAACUCGAAAAAACGUGACCUGAAGCAUCUGUAACCCGAGGUAGGACUGUAUUGAAAUCUUUUUCAAUAGCAAGACAGCAAGACGAAUAACGUACGUUUUUGCAGAAGCAGAACUGCAUCACGAUGGAAAGAGCGUCGAUUGCAAAUUAAAAAGGAAGGGACAGAAACUGCUGCCUCCUUGCAUCCCAGGUCCUGGAUGCGUUAGGAACUUAAGGGCUGUUUGGUAGACAGCGGAGUUGACACGGCAUAUCCACUUGCUGCAAAAUUCUAAGUCAUGUUUUUUGGUGUGUCUUAUUUAGCAAAGCAUACGAAGGGAAGCUGAAACACCCUCAAAAUGUCUCAAGGGGUUUUGCAUAUCCCUAGCUGAGAGCCGGUUUUCGACGCCACAAAUUGCCAUGCAUUUGCAUUGUGCAAAGCACAGAGAGCAUGCCACAAGGCGGUCAUGGUACAUGGACCCAGCACCAUGUGACAGGGCAUGGUAGGUGCUCCCCGUAAUUGCUAAGUGUGACAGCUCUCUGUGACAGCUGUUUUCUAAUUGUGCAUUCAUGUCGAGUUCACUUCCUUAAAUAUAAUGAACCUCCUCCAAACCUUGCCCUGUAAACCAAGUGGAACACAGACGCGGCAGAGGCAGUAUCUGGAAUCCAAAUGUGAAUGUCUUCCUCUGCAUUUUUCAUGCACCCAGCUUCUAAGGAAAUGCACCUUCAACUAGCUAUGUGCAUCUCCAGGUCUCCCUUGCCAACAGAAGAUCUUGCAUUUGCAAACCCUCCUUGCCUGUGUUGGGUCAUGGAGAUGCCCCCAGAGGAAGAUUUUGUGCUAUUCUCUCAAUAAUAAUAAUAUAUUUCCCCAGCCACUUUGGGCAGCUUCCAACAAAAUAUUAAAAAUACAAUAAAUCAUCAAACAUUAAAAGCUUCCCUAAACAGAGCUGCCUUCAGAUGUCAUCUAAAAGUCAGAUAGUUGUUUGUUUCCUUGACAUCUGGUGAGAGGGCUUUCCACAGGGUGGGUGCCACUACCGAGAAGGCCCUCUGUCUGGUUCCCUGUAAUCUCACAUCUUGCAGGGAGGGAACCGCCAGAAGGCCCUUGGAGCUGGACCUCAGUGUCUGGGCAGAACGAUGGGGGUGGAGAUGCUCCUUCAGGUAUACAGGACUGAGGCCAUUUAGAGCUUUGAAGGUCAGCACCAAUACUUUGAAUUGUGCUCGGAAACGUACUGGGAGCCAAUGUAGGUCUUUCAAGACCAGUGUUAUGUGGUGUCAGCGGCUGCCCCCAGUCACCAGUCUCGCUGCCGCAUUCUGGAUUAGUUGUUUCCGGGUCACCUUCAAAGGUAGCCCCACAUAGAGCGCAUUGCAGUAGUCCAAGCGGGAGAUAACCAGAGCAUCCCAAGCGGACGCUGCCUCUUUCUGAUCUGCUCCUGUGCUGAUGGCGACUGCCUGGGCAGAAAGGGGAUUUUCCUGUACAUUUCUUAAGGUCACGGUUUUUAGGGCUCGUUCACCACUGCGGCUUACAUCUGACCCACCCCGAAGCAGCUGAAACUAUUAACCCAGCAAAGCUUUUGUUUGACGUAAGCCCUGCCCUUUAAGCGCCUUUGCGGAAGCCACGGACUGACGCAGGAUCGACCAGCCCUCCUCUAUGCUGCUGCUUGCUAUCGAAUGAUAGGUCACUCACUGGGAACGGCAUGCACCACGGCAACAUCUUGAGAGGUUCUGCACAUUCUCUCCUGCACAUAUGACGUUGGGCACGCCUAGCUGCUUUCGUGUGUCCCACCUGCAUACCCAGACGCUCUUCCUGGUCUUGGGCCAUGGGUUUCACCCUGGCAACACUGCUUCUUGGCAAUCUCCCCCAUGAAACUCCUUGAAGGGGUUGUGUUUGAAGUUCUCUGAACAUGUGCAGAGUAGAGUGUCUUUGGCAGAGUGCCAACACUACCUCCCUUUCCAACAGAACUGGGAGUAGGUCUGAUAUACUUGGGUUUUUCCCCUCCUUACACAAAGGUGCACUGCAUAGCUGCUCUCCAGCAGGGAAGGCAGGACCCAUGUUCUGUGAGAUUACAGUGGUACCUCGGGUUAUGAACUUAAUUCAUCCCGGAGGUCCGUUCUUAACCCAAAACCGUUCUUAACCUGAGGCAUACUUUCGCUAAUGGGGCCUCCCGCUGCCACCGUGCCGGCAGCGUGCGAUUUCCGUUCUCAUCCUGGGGCAAAGUUCUCAACCCGAGGUACUACUUCUGGGUUAGCGGAGUUUGUAACCCGAAGUAACCCAAAGCGUUCGUAACCUGAGGUACCACUGUAUUGUUGAAAUUCAGCACUAGGUGUUUUAUCGACUGUGGGGGAAGAUGUCAUUUAUUUCUGAUGAAAACAAGAAUUGAAUUUGUGGCUGUUUGCUUAUUCAUUCCAUAUCCAUAAUGCAAUCAAUUAUGCAAAUGAUACUCUGUUGUUGUUGUUGUUAUUUAUAUCCUGUUUCUCCCCAGACUGGGACUCAAAGUGGCUUACACAAAUUAGAACCACAGAGAUGAAAUACAAAAAGCUUUUAAAAAAGAAGUUAAAAAGUAAUUCAACAUACAGUCGUACCUCGGGUUACAGACCCUUCAGGUUGCACGAUUUCGGUACCGGAAGUACCGGAACUGGUUACUUCAGGGUUUAGGUGCUUUGCACAUGCACAGAAGCGCUGAAUCGCAACCUGCGCAUGCGAACAUGCGGCACUGCUGGUUGCGAACGCUGCGGGUUGCGAACGUGCUUCCCGCACGGAUCACAUUCACAACCCGAGCGUCCACUGUAUUUCAUUAUGUCCUCACCCGCUUUGCAUUGCAUUUCCUCUGCAUUGAAAUGAAUGCUGUGAAAUGACUUAUUGAUGACAUAAUUUACCUAGUUCAUUCUGUAAAUUAUGUAGCUUACGUAAUUUGGCCACAGUGGACAGCGAGACAAAUAAUGUACGUUUUGGUGGAAUACCAGCUGCAGUGGAAUGGAAACAGUGCGGCCUGCGACUUAUACAGGGUGGAACGGAAAACGAUGCUUUCUUACAUCCCAAAGGUGUUAAAUAAGAAUAAGAAUGAAAUAAUUAAUUAUUAUAUUUACAUACCACCUUUCUUUCCAAUGAGCUCAAAGUAGUGUACACGGUGUAGUGGUUAAGAGCGGUGGACUCGUAAUCUGGUGAACCGGGUUCGCUUCCCCGCUCCUCCACAUGCAGCUGCUGGGUGACCUUGGGCUAGUCACACUUCUCUGAAGUCUCUCAGCCCCACUCACCUCACAGAGUGUUUGUUGUGGAGAAAGGAGAAUGUUAGCCGCUUUGAGACUCCUUAGGGUAGUGAUAAAGCGGGAUAUCAAAUCCAAACUCUUCUUCUUCUUAUAUGCUCGCAACAACCCUGUAAGGUAGGCUAGGCUGAGAGGCAAGGGCUGGUCUCCAAGGUCCCCCCAGUGAGCAUCAUGGGGCUGAGUGGGGAUUCGAACCCUGCUCUCCCAGGUCCUAUUCCAACACUCUUAACCGCGGCGUUGCAGAUUGUGUCCCACUGUUUGUAUUAGGAGGUUCUCCUCGUGGGAAAACAGAGCUCGUAAAUGCUGACAGAUUUUAUUCUCUCCUUCUCUCUUAAACGGUAACAUAGAUGUGGCAUCCCUGCUGGGAGAAAUCGAGAUGUGUGAAAGAAGUUCAGGAUGUUCUGGCUUUUGCCUGGGAGGGAUACCCUCUCGUUGUGAAAAAGGGCCUGCGUCCCACAUUAGCUCUUUUAGGGAAGGAGCGUGCAGCCAGCGUUUACUCACAACAAUAAAAACAAAACAGCCACCCUCGGCCCUGAAUGCAUUUUGGCACAAAAGCACCAUUAAGGACAUUUGUUUGGCGUGUGUGUCCAGCCGGCUGGCCCAGAAACUGCAAUCCUGGCUGCCUUUUGGGAAGGCAGAUCUAGCCAAUAAAUUCCAGAAUUAGCAGUAAACAGACCCAUUUCCUAGGAAACUCUGGCAUGAGGUCGGAGGGGAAAUCCCUGCUCGUUUGGCCCCAGAAGAUUCUCCGCCGCUGUGCUGGACCAUGUUUGGAAGAGACCACGUUUAAUGUUGGAAAAGAUGGAGAGCAGGGGCCUCGUCUGCAGGAAUGUGCAAGAGCCACAUCGUUUGGGGUCGCUGAAAGAAAAGGAGGUGGCAAAGAUCACCAAAAGGACCUCUUUUCAAACUAAGUGGAUGGGCAGUAAAACGGCGAAUGCAAUUCAGUGUAGACAAAUGUAAAGUGAUAGGGGGCGGGAACUUAUGCCUUAUGAGGAACGGCUAAGGGAGCUGGGCAUGUUUAGCCUGGAGAAGAGGAGGUUAAGGGGUGAUAUGAUAGCCAUGUUCAAAUAUAUAAAAGGAUGUCACAUAGAGGAGGGAGAAAGGUUGUUUUCUGCUGCUCCAGAGAAGCGGACACGGAACAAUGGAUCCAAACUACAAGAAAGAAGAUUCCACCUAAACAUUAGGAAGAACUUCCUGACAGUAAGAACUGUUCGACAGUGGAAUUUGCUGCCAAGGAGUGUGGUGGAGUCUCCUUCUUUGGAGGUCUUUAAGCAGAGGCUUGACAACCAUAUGUCAGGAGUGCUCUGAUGGUGUUUCCUGCUUGGCAGGGGGUUGGACUUGAUGGCCCUUGUGGUCUCUUCCAACUCUAUGAUUCUUUGAACCUUAAUUUUGCAUAUAUGCAAAUGGGUUCUGAGCUGGCGGUGAUGGACCAGGAAUGAGACCUUGGAGAUAUCUUGAUGAACAUGUCAACCCACUGGGAGCAGCUCUGAACAAGGCAAGUUCGGUGCUAGGGAUCAUUAUAAAAGGAACUGUGAAUAAUGGUGCCAGAAUCCUAACGCAGGGAUACAAAUAUGUAGUGCAACCACAUUUGGAAUACUGUCUGCAGUUCUGGUCACCUCACCUGUGCUGGAAACCACAGGGGGAGAAGAGGGCUUUUGUGCUCAGAUCCGGCUUGUGAGCUUCCAAUAAUGGGUAUCUGGUUGUGUUUUUUUUUUAAAAAGGUAAAGGACCCCCGGAUGGAUGGUUAAGUCCAGUCAAAGGUGACUAUGGGGUUGUGGUGCUCAUCUUGCUUUCAGGCUGAGGGAGCCGGCAUUUGUCCACAGACAGCUUUCUGGGUCAUGUGGCCAGCAGGACUAAACUGCUUCUGGCACAACGGAACACUGUGGCGGAAACCAGAGCGCAUGGAAAUGCCGUUUACCUUCCCGCCGGAGCAGUACCUAUUUAUCUACUUGCACUGGUGUGCUUUCGAACUGCUAGGUUGGCAGGAGCCGGGACAGAGCAACGGGAGCUCACUCAGUCGCGGGGAUUCGAACCGACAACCUUCCGAUUGGCAAGCCCAAGAGGCUCAAUGGUUUAGACCACAGCGCCACCCGCCUCUGGUUAACCACUGGGCGAACAGGGUGCUGGAUGAGAUGGGCACCCUUGGGCCUGACCCGUAACACUUGCUGAUGACCACAUCAUGAAAGAUGGGUCUAUCAUUGGGCGAUAAUUCUUAUGGACCAAGUAGAAUCUCCAUCAUUAAAGUAGUGUAUCUCUUUGUUGAUGGUUGCGGAGAACAAACACAUUGACCAUCGCCUUCAUGCCCACCUUGAAAAUUUCCUAGGUGACCUAAUGAUGCUGCUGAAACCCAACUCCCAUCAGUGCCCACUGAGGUCCAGCGCCGAGGGCCUUCUGGCAGUUCCCUCAUUGCAAGAAGCAAAGUUACAGGGAACCAGGCAGAGGGCCUUCUCAGUAGUGGCACCCGCCCUGUGGAACGCCCUCCCAUCAGAUGUCAAAGAGAUAAACUACAUGACAUUCAGAAGACAUCUGAAGGCAGCCCUGUUCAGGGAAGUUUUUAAUGUGUGACAUUUUAGUGUAUUUUUGGUCUUUGUUGGAUGCUGCCCAGAGUGGCUGGGGAAACCCAGCCAGAUGUGUGGGGUACAAAUAAUAAAUUAUUAUUAUUAUUAUUAUUAUUAUUAUUAUUAUUAUCCCAAAAACUCUGGACAAUCAUCCCCCCAAAAAGUUCAAAGCUCAACAACUCUGGGCCAUCUCCCCCCUCCCCAUUUUCUUAAAUUUGAGUCCUGCAAAAUAUAGGUAGUCUUGUACGGGGGCAUGUUAUACACGGAAAAAUACUGUAUAAUCCUCCUUCUCCUCAGCCAGAGCUAAUUGAUUUGUGUGACUUGCUUGCUCAUUCAUUCUCCCUGUACUUCGUCGCUCUCUUGAUUGUGCAACCACAAGGAGCUAUCCACGGCAGCACUUCUGCAGGGGAGAAAAAGACGGGGCUGCUUGCUGGAGCCGCUGCUUUAACCUUAAUUGCCUGCGUUCUGUCACUUACCUGAGGCUGCUAGCUAGCAAAGCAGUAGGAAAGGAACUUUGCUUUCCAAAGCAGCUGGUUUUGUUCUUGCUGUUCUGGGCCUGACUCUGUCUUUGUCUGGUGAAGUGUCAGAGACUCUGGAGACAGGCAGGAAUACAGUGGUACCUCGGGUUAAGUACUUAAUUCGUCCUGGAGGUCCAUUCUUAACCUGAAACUGUUCUUAACCUGAAGCACCACUUUAGCUAAUGGGGCCUCCUGCUGCCGCCGCGCUGCAGGAGCACGAUUUCUGUUCUCAUCCUGAAGCAAAGUUCUUAACCUGAAGCACUAUUUCUGGGUUAGCGGAGUCUGCAACCUGAAGCGUAUGUAACCCAAGGUACCACUGUACCUGCCCCCUUGCCCUGUCUUUCUAUACGGUGUAGAAAGAUAAAUUCUCCGAAAAGUACAAUAGAUAGUCUGCUGCAAUGUGGCAUUGCCAUGCAGAUGCAUGGAAACAGAUUCUAAGAUUUUGCAGCAGUGAAUUUGCUCCUGUGAGCCAGUGGUUACAAUCGCAAAUGCACCCGAGUCAGACCAGACACAAAAUGAAUUUGAAAGAUUUGUUUAAAUCGCAGCGCAGGAACGAUGAAGAUAGACACACCCAGUGAUAUCUGAAAUACAAGGAGAGAAAAUAAUGCAUGAAUGAAACAGAGGAGAGCGAUUUGUAAAGGGAAAGCAUUGUUAGACUAGCAAAUAAAGUUUUUCUUUAUUUAAAAAAUGGUUAUUAUGCCCUGAUUGAAAACCUCCAGAAAAAUCCCUUCCAUCAGUUCCGACUAGUUAAAGGUUUACUAAACUGCCUUAUAGCAGCUUAACCUGAAGAUUAAGGAGCGGGGUUGGAUUAUGGCCUGCGUGGACGAAUGAGGAAAGUUGAGAAAGAUGAAACGGUUGAACAGGAGCCCAAAUGGCACAAAUCGGAAGUUAGUUCAGGAAAAAAUAGAGAAGUGUUUAAAAUUGAAAAAAGUGAAGCCUAAGACUUACAGAGGAAUAAACAGAAAGUAAAAUGAAAAUGAGGGGAAGCAAAAACCCUAUAAAUCUUGCAUCUGUUUCAGAACUGUUCAUCCUGGCUCAGGAAAAAUGCCCAAGAUCAGCUUCUGGAGGUAAAUGAGUUUCUUAUAUUUUGAGUCACUUUUUUCUCUUGCCCCAUUCCCCCCACUAAAAUUCACUUCUGUAUUGGCAAAUGAAGCAUCGAAGGCAGGCCCCUGCUAAAAGCAGGUGUUUUGCUUUAGAUGAUUUUAAAUUAUUUUGGGGGAGUGACAUAUUCCCAAGCUUAAUCUGGGCGAAGGAGUCUCCCGAAGGCCACUCUAAGCUGCUAAUGAACCUUCUAUCUUCACCCGGCCUCGUGAUCUCAGCUUGACUAAAGACUCGCCAGGCUUUCUGCUUCCAGGCAGAUGGAGAGACCUUUGUGCCUUUGAAGGAGACAGCUCUGCCUGCUUAAAACCGUGAGCCACAGCACUCUGGAGCAAUGUUUGCUCCCACUUCGUUCCUCGAGAUUCUCUUCUGCCAUGCAAGCAGACACACGUCUCCGAAAAAGAGCGGAAUAACAGGAUCAUGGGAUUGGAAACGGCAGUCUAUCGGAGAUGCCAUCAGGUUCAGAGGUGGAUCAUCUCCUGUGCUUGCAGAAGGUCUUGGGUCCAAUCCCAGGCAUCUCCAGGUGGGCCUGGGAAAAGGCUUCCUGGCUGAAACCCUGGAGAGGGCUGCUGCCAGUCAGAGUAGACAGUAUUGCCCAAUGGUGUCGCUCUGUAUAAUGCAGUUUCUUAUUCUGAUUUCUGGGCCUGCCUUUCCGUCUUGCUUCUAGACUGCAGAGAGGCGAACAGCCUAAUUUGAGUUCAACAGACACCAGCCCAGGGGAGAGCAGCCACAUCAACCUCGAAGCACCCUACUUUCGCCUGCUUGCUCGUUUCAUUUAUUUGCAGAAAACUGUACCUCUUAAUAUAAUAAAGUCUCUCCAAGCAGUUUGUGUUAAAGGGCUUUUAAAAUAAAAAUAAAAUGCAGCAAACGUUUCCUGAAAACUAGAUCAAAACAAAGCAAAAAGUGCAUGUCACCCGUAAAACUGAGCCCUGCACAUACUGGAACAACUGCCUCACGUAAUGUGCGCGAGAAAUGUCAGCCUUUAUGUCCCCGUCUAAUUUAAUUCCGUGGGAUCAGUGUUGGGUUUCCUUCGUGUUGUUUACCCUGAGGCUUUGAGCUCUGUGUGAGCUGGCCGGCCAUUCUCCUCUCCCAGGCUCCCAACGCUUGUUGACAUUUGUCUCAUGCUCUUUUUCGAUGAAAAGGUAUAUUUGGUGUGGCAGAAGAACCUGGCUGCUGGGCCAGACCAAAAGCCUGUCUGGUCCAGCAUUGGAGUCUCGACCAGAGGCUGAUGGAGGAGCCUGCAAGGGGCACAUGGACAGGGCAAGAACACUCUUCCCACUGUGAUUUCCCAGCAACUCGCAUUUGGAGGCACGCAGUCUCUGAUCCCGGAGACGGCAUGCAGUUAACGUGAUCAGUAGCCAUUGUCUAGUCACUUUUUAAAGCCAUCUGAGAUGGUUGCCAUCACUACCGUACUUCCUUUAUUCUUUCCCUGAGUCUCCCAUCAUUCAGCUGUAAGGAAUGACCCCGUUGGGUCUUAAUAGCAUGACAGAAGGAGGAAAACCUCUCCGUAAUAUCCAGGCAUAGUUUUAUGUAUCAAGCCCACAUUCUUCUGCCCAGGCUGCAACCCUCAAGGCCCUUGGUCCUCGCUUCACACCUUCCUCCUGGCAGGAAUGCAUUCCUCAGCUGGAAUGUGGCCUUCUGUCAGAUAGAGGUCGUCUCCAAACCAUCCCCUUCUCACCAUUUUAUUAUUCUGGGAAUUGUGAUAGUGUCUCUUUCUUGCUGGAAAGGAGAUAAGUGCUGGUCUGCUGUUGGGGUAAAACCUUUGUGUGCAGGACGGAAUGUAGCCUGCAGACUGGUUCCCAAGUUUUUCUCUCCUCCUGAGCCGCUUGAAAAUUGCUGACGGCGGAACACUUAAUUAUUAUUUUAUUUUUUCCUGCCUGUCGCAGCAAGUGCAAUGCUCUGUGCUAGAUGCUGCGUGGUUUGAAAUCCCAUCUGAAUGGCUUCUUUUGUUUCUUAUGUAUUGCAUUUUAUCCAUAGGAUUCAAGUGGCAAUGCAAUGUAAGAUGCAAAAUAAAACUGCAAUUAGCAAUCAAUACUAGUAGUAAUAAUAAUAAUAAUAAUAAUAAUAAUAAUAAUAAUAAUAAUAUUUUAUUUAUAUCCCGCUCUCCCCAGCCAAAGCCGGGCUCAGAGCGGCUAACAACAAUAAAAGUAACACAACAUUCUAAAAUCAAUUCAUUUAAAAAUCAAUUCAAAAUCAAAUUAAUGGCAACCAUUGGGCUGGAGUUCUGUGAGGAUCAACAAAGGAGGGGGUCAGACUGCGCCUUGGCCAAAGGCCUGGUGGAACAGCUCUGUCUUGCAGGCCCUGCGGAAAGAUGUCAAGUCCCGCAGGGCCCUAGUCUCUUGUGACAGAGCGUUCCACCGGAUCGGGGCCACAGCUGAAAAAGCCCUGGCUCUGGUUGAGGCCAGCCUAACCUCCCUGUGGCCCCGGAUCUCCAAGAUGUUUUUGUUUGCAGACCGUAAGGUCCUCCGUGGGACAUACCAGGAGAGGCGGUCCCGUAGGUACGAGGGUCCUAGGCUGUAUAGGGCUUUAAAGGUUAAAACCAGCACCUUAAACCUGAUCCUGUACUCCACCGGGAGCCAGUGCAGCUGGUAUAGCACCGGGUGAAUGUGAUCCCGCAGCAAGGACCCUGCAAGGAGUCUCGCCACGGCAUUCUGCACCCGCUGGAGUUUCUGGGUCAGUCUCAAGGGUAGCCCAACAUAGAGUGAGUUACAAUAAUCAAGUCUGGAGGUGACCAUUGCGUGGAUCACAGUGGCUAGGUCAGGGCGAGAGAGGUAAGGAGCCAACUGCUUAGCUUGGCAGUGAUGAAAAAUAGGGAUAUUUAAUGCAAUGGAUAUGCGGAGAUGUUCCAUGAAGCGCCUGAAUGAAGCUUGCAGACCACUUGGGGACCUCCUGUCUCGUGUACAAGCCACAUCCAUUGAGCCUCCCACUUCCUUAGCCACACCAGCCCCCACCAAGCGGCCCCCAGAUUCCUGGGUCAUGAGGUAGACUAGGGCUGCAAGCUUUAAUUAACUGCUAGAUUAAUCACUGAGAAUUGCUCUCUUUAUGUGUGUUUUUAAUUGCAGAGUGAACCUUGCCUCGCAAUUGAUAGGCAGAGUUGGGAUUGUUCAGCAGUUAUCCCUUUCAGUCUGCAGAAACUCAUUUCAUUUUCCUUAUGCUAUCAUAGUUGGGGGCGGGGAGCAAAUUAAAGAUGUGCGGUUUUGGGCAGGGAUCCUUGUUCCCUAAACCACCUGCCAGUUUUGCAUUUCAGGGUGAGAGAUGAGAAUGACUUCCUUCUAACAAUCCAAAACCAGAGGCAACUGAAUCUGACAAUGAUCAGACGAAAAUUGGAGCCGACACAAUCUCUUAAAUCUGGAUCUCCUGCAAUACUUGUUGGCUUUGCUGAUGCUGCUUUGAUGUGUUACUAAUAAGAGGAAAUCAUAUUCUAGGUUCCUCAACAUGACAAAGCACACUUAUCAGGAAGUAAACCCUCCUGAACUCGGUGUGACCUCAUUCCGGGUAGAUGUGUUGAAGACCGGGUUGCAGAUUAUCUCCCGGUCGAAAAGCAACAACUCCCUUCCUCCAGCCUCCUUACAAAGGCAUCUUCAAAAGAUUAGGAUACGAAAUCAAAUCAGUUAACUAGUAAAUGGCUGGCUAAAAUCCGCAAGCGCUCAAGUUCAGUUUAGUUACGCCUUUGUGUGGCUUUUGAUGUUAUAAUUUGAUGUAUUUUUUUAUUGCUCGUAUCAGUUGCAAUAACUUUGUUCUGUUGUGGAAAGAAAGAAAAAUCUGGUCAAAGAAAGUGUUGGAAGGGACCCUGAGGAUCAUCUAGGCCAGGCACCCCCAAACUCGGCCCGCCAGAUGUUUUGGGACUACAAUUCCCACCAUCCCUGACCACUGGUCCUGUUAGCUAGGGAUGAUGGGAGUUGUAGUCCUAAAUCAUCUGGAGGGCCGAGUUUGGGGAUGCCUGAUCUAGGCCAGCCUUUCUCAACCUGUGGGCCCAGAUGUUGUUGAACUACAACUCCCAUCACCCCUAGCUAGCAAGGCCAGAGCUCAGGGAUGAUGGGAGUUGUAGUCCAACAACAUCUGGGGACCCACAGGUUGAGAACCGCUGAUAGGCCAAGGUUUCCCAAACUUGGGUCUCCAGCUGUUUUUGAACUACAACUCCCAUCAUCCCUAGCUAUCAGGACUAGUGGUCAGGAAUGAUGGGAAUGGUAGUCCAAAAACAGCUGGAGACCCAAGUUCAGGAAACCCUGAAUUCUAGUCCAACCCCUGCCUGCAAUGAAGGAAUAUGCACCUGUCCCUUAUGGGGAUCAAAACUGCAACCUUGGCAUUAUCAGCACCUUGCUCUAACUAGCUGAGCUAUUCCUCACCACAUCUGUCUUUCAUGUAUAAAGAAAGAAGAUAAGCUAAUGAUAAAGGGAAAUUUUUAAUCGUUAAACUGUGGGAUCCUCCCCAGAGUUGCAGCGAUAGCCUUAUCUUCCUCCUGGAAUUUGCCUAAUCCUCUUUUAAACCCAUCCAAAUCGGUGUCUGUCAGUGGAUAUUGGUUAGGAAGCAUGGGCUCUGUGCUAGCUCACCAUAUUGGACGCAACAUCCCUCUUAAUGCCAGUUGCUGCGCAUUCCAGUGGACCUUCCAUCGCGUCCUGCUUGCAGGCUCCCAUCCCAUAAUCCUCUGGUUGUCCGUGACGGGAAACGGGGGAGUGGGCUAGAAUGAUCCAGCUGCACCCUUUUAAUAUUUUUCUGUUAAACCUUCACAGCAAACAAAAGAGAACAACACAAACCUAACACAUCACAAACUCUCCAUUAUCCAGGUCAUUCCCCGCCGGUAUUUAAAAUAAAAUUUCGAUGCUAUAGCCAGAGCCUUGUUGCGGUUAAUGAGUAGAAAUUAUAUCUGUUGCUGAUCUGACCCAUGUCCGGGAGGGGCCUUAUCUAGCCAGCGAAGAAAUGCGCUCCUCUCUUCUGAGAAAACUUUGAGAACAAAAGGAGAGUUGUGUGGGGUGUAAUCUUAAGUGGUUCUCAGCCCCUAGGUGAGGCAGAAGGUAUUUUCCAGCGGAGAAAUGAACGUUUUGCAGGUGCAAGCACUUCCUAACGCAGGGAUGGGAUGGGAAAUUUUCAGGCAUGGGACGUCCUCAGGGCUCUCGCAGAAGCGCUGCUCGGGGGCCCUGUGUCGCAACGGCUAACCUCUGAUCUUGCCAAACCCGCUAGGGGAGAGACUGCAAUCUGCAUGCUAAGGGGGGUGGGGUGGGACAGGGACUGCAGGCGACUUGCUCCAGGCCCUCUGAGAAGAAUGCGGCUGCUGGCACGUCACCAAGGAUGCUCUCUGGCUAUGUGAGCAGAAACAGGCCUCUGCACAAAGCCGGAAAGGGGCAGUGGUCUGUAAAAAAAUAAAUUGAUGCUUCCAUGCACAAAUAGUUUGCAACGCAGGCGUGGGUGUUUUGUGGCCAGCUGUCCAUGGAGGCACCAGAGUGGUGCAUGCUCUGGUUAUCUCCUGCUUGGACUACUGCAAUGCGCUCUACGUGGGGCUACCUUUGAAGGUGACCCGGAAACUACAACUAAUCCAGAAUGCGGCAGCUAGACUGGUGACUGGGAGCAGCCGCCGAGACCAUAUAACACCGGUCUUGAAAGACCUACAUUGGCUCCCAAUACAUUUCCGAGCACAAUUCAAAGUGUUGGUGUUGACCUUUAAAGCCCUAAACGGCCUCGGUCCAGUAUAUCUGAAGGAGUGUCUCCACCCCCAUCAUUCUGCCUGGACACUGAGGUCCAGCGCCGAGGGCCUUCUGGCGGUUCCCUCACUGCAAGAAGCCAAGUUACAGGGAACCAGGCAGAGGGCCUUCUCGAUAGUGGCGCCUGCCCUGUGGAACGCCCUUCCAUCAGAUGUCAAAGAGAACAACAACUACCAGACUUUUAGAAGACAUCUGAAGGCAGCCCUGUAUAGGGAAGCUUUUAAUGUUUGAUGUAUUACAGUAUUUUAAUAUUUUUUUGGAAGCCGCCCAGAGUGGCUGGGGAAGUCCAGCCAGAUGGGCGGGGUAUAAAUAAUAAAUUAUUAUUAUUAUUAUUAUUAUUAUUAUUAUUAUAGCGGUACGGCUGUCACAUUUGGGGGCUGGCAUUCGUCUGUCUCUGGAGACAAUGGAGGAGUGCGCCUUUGGGGGUGAUGUCAAGCUGUUGGCAGACUGCAGUGCCUGUUGCGGCUGCAGCGACUGAUGCAGGAGAGACAUGUUUUGUUGCAGCCGGGGCAAAGGAAGGCGUCCGGUUGUGCGGAUGCACCAGGGCGUUUCUUCUCCCAGCGGCCAUUCCUCCUCUGGUCCUAGAAAUGGGCCGUAUAAAUGGCAAAACGAGAAGGGCCCUAGCUCAGGGGGAGCACCUCUCUUUGCACACAGAAGCCCCUGGGUCCAACCCUUGGGUUAGGAAUGUCUCCAGCCUCAUGCCCUGGAGAGCUGCUGCCAGGCAGUGUAGCCAAUACAGUGGUACCUCGGGUUAAGUCCUUAAUUCGUUCCGGAGGUCCGUUCUUAACCUGAAACUGUUCUUAACCUGAAGCACCACUUUAGCUAAUGGGGCCUCCUGCUGCCACUGCGCCGCCGGAGCACGAUUUCUGUUCUCAUCCUGAAGCAAAGUUCUUAACCCGAGAUACUAUUUCUCGGUUAGUGGAGUCUGUAACCUGAAGCGAAUGUAACCUGAAGCGUAUGUAACCCGAGGUACUGUGCUAGAUGGAAUAGCGGUCUGACUUGAGCAGAAGGCAGUGUCCUGUCUAAAGGUCGUGGGUUCAAUAGCCAUACAGACCACCUGCAUAUUCCUACAUGAUCCUCUGGGUUCCUUGCAUCUUUACGGUUUUACAAAUGCAGGGAAACCUGCCUGUCGUUUUCCCACGGGCACCUGCUUGGCCACUGCGAGAACAGUAUGUUGGACCUUUGAUCCUGCAAAGGGCUUCUGAUAUUUUUUAGACAGCGCAUCUCUUCUUUGCACGGUCCCACUGUUUGUUUGUGUCUUGCUUUUCUACUUGGCUCUGCCCUGGCAAAUAUACCGGUCUGUUUGUGCCACCUCUCAGAUGCCUUUCCCCCCUCAAACUGGUGGACCUGAUGCUGAGCUCCCCAACGUACAUGCCAACCUCCCCGCCCCCCCAAAUUGAAGAUCUGCUGCUGCACUUGGGUCCAUCCUGUGCACAGCCCAUAAUGGGCUCCCUGUUGGCCACCAUGGGAACAAGAUGCUGGCUAGAUGGGCCGCCAGCCUGAUCCUGCAUGAUUCUUAGAAACAUUGAAUUGUAGAGUCGGAAGGGACCACCAGAGUCAUCUAGGCCAACCUCCUGCAAAGGCAGGAAUCUUUUGUCCAAUGUGGGGCUCGAACCCGCAACCCAGAAAUUAUGAGUCUCAUCAUGCUCUGCCGACUGAGCUAUCUAGGUAAGACUUCACAUCCCUAAUCCACAAAAGCUUUUCCCGCAAUAUAUUUGAUAGUCCUUAUAAAGUACCGCAAGACUCUUUUGGGCUGCGGUCGCUGGACUCGCCUGCAGUGAUGGCUGCUGCCCAUUGGGACUGGAAAGGGGGGGGGGAGGACCAGAGCAGGCGGAGCCAGUGUGAAUGGGAGGCGGAGCCACAGCUCAAUGAGAGGCGGAGCCAACUAAUGCUAGUUAAUACCCCUAUCCCCCUGCUCUUUGGCAAGGGGGCACCACUCUCCCACUCACACAAGGCAGUUCCAUAUCUAGAGGGAAAUAAGGAACCCAAGAGUGCCACAGGCUGAAUCAGUUCUUCAAAGGCAACACAGAGGAGGAGGUUGAUUCCAGCCGGCAGCGCCACCCCCUGGACUGGUUGUAAGUAAGUACCAAAGCAGGCAAGGACAGGCAGGUGGGCUGAGGUUUGUUGAGCAGCUGGUUGCCCUGAUAAGUUUACAAGGACCCUACUGGUUGCAGUGGUGAAUUCUGAUCUUGGCAAACUGAAUGUGCAUUUUGGGAAGCUGUGUCACUUACUUGGGAAAGUCAAAAGCUGCUAAAAAAAAUCACCCCAAUUCCUUCCUUCCUUUUUCUUUUUCCUUCCUUCCUUCCUUUCUGUUGCAUUUCUUUUAAGAGUAGUUGAGAGUCUGAACUGGAGAGGGUUUUGAAGGAGACUCCAGGUCUGUUCUCUUCUUCUUAGGACAUAGCUUGGGAUCUGUUGGGUGCUGGGCUUUCUUGCAAAGAGUACUGGGUGGGUUGGAUUUUGGUAUCUAUCAUCUAUCUAUCUAUCUAUCUAUCUAUCAUCUAUCUAUUUCAUUUGCAUCCCACCCUUGCUCCUAGUGGAGCCCAGGGUGGUAAACAGAGUAAGGUGGUAGCUCAUAAAACUCUUAACCUUGGAGUCAUGAAUUCAACCCCACAGAUUCCUGAAUUGCAGGGGGUUGGACUAGAUGACUCUGGUGGUCCCUUCCAACUCUACAAAUCUAUGAACUCCCAGCAGCCAGCAAGGCCAAUCAGGAAUAAGAUGGUGAGAAGUGUAAUCUACAAACAUUUGGAGGGCCAUGGGUCCCUUUUCUCUCUAUAAGGCAGCUAAGAUCCUGUUGGUGGAGCACAGUGGCUCCUCUCCCUCCCUCCUAAUAAUACUGAAAUCCAAAGACAACCAACAGAAGCUGAAUGUUGUGCUUUUCCACCCAUUGCAUAGUGAAAUUACGAAACUCACACCUGUUUUUCUUGGUGUUUUUGCAAAAAAAAUAGCUCAGCAACAACUUUGGGGUUUGUAAAAAACAAAACAAAAAAAAUCCCAACAAUUUCGGGGUGUCCUGGCAACCCCAAAACCACUUUGAGGUUUCCACACUUACGCGGCAUAAACAACAGGUAAAUAAUAAGGGAAAAUAAGCGUGCUCCCCAGAGAUCCGAAUUCCAAAGGGAAGCUGAAACAACCGAGAUAUGCAGGGCUUCUCCCUCCUUAUCCGUGCAAAACGAAUUAUUAUUAUUAAAUUAAUUUGUGUACCACCCGUCCCCCGUAGGCAUAGGAGCCAACUCCUAGGGGCCGAGGUCCUUUCGCCCCCCUAAAAUAUUUGAGGGAGUGGGUCCCCUCAAAGUUGAUAGGCAUUACAAAUGGUGUUUGUGCGUGAUCUUAUGAUCGAUUAUGUUGGGUGGGGUUACACGGCCCCCUCUAUGGGUGUAGGCAGGAUUUAUGAUGGAGGGGGCAGGCUUUAUGGUAGGGGGUGCAGAACCUCAGUUACUUAAGUAUUUUUAUUGAUUUCUGUUGAUUUGGGGGGCAUCUGCCUCCACUGCCCCCCCUUGGCUACGCCCUUGCCGCCUCCCCAACAUUUUCUUCAAGUCGGCACUCUGCCCGUGGAUCUCAGAUCGGUUCAAGGCGACUCUGUAUCCCCCUCCCCAUCCCGGGGCGCAGCGUUCCUGCGCGAAGAGGCGCUGGGUCCUGCUCGACGGCUGCUGCGCGCAAUUGCGCCUCCUUUUGGAAAGCGCCCCUAGGGGGCCCGAGCGCGCCAGGGGCGAGGCGCCCCAGGGUGCGGGCGCAGCGGGAGGUCGCCGGGGCUUCUCCUCCCUCCGCCUCCCGCGCCUCCUUGGGGAGAGCCUCGCCGCGGGAAGCGCGCUAGGACCGGCGCGGGAGGGAGGGAGGUGUGUCCCUCGGCGCGGCUGCUGCUGCCGCCGCUUCUGCUGCGCCUCCGCCGCCGCCUCCUCCUGCUCCUCCUCGGCCGUCCCUUCCCCUUUCCACCCUCCGCAACCCGGGCCGAUGCGCGGGCGCUUUCAGUUCGGGCUGCUCUGCUCCUUCCGACGGCGGCGGCGAGGCGGCAGGCGUGGCGCGCCUCGGCGAUGGUGUGAAGCGCAGCCCCGGAGCGGCGGCGGCGAUGGCAACGGCGAGGCGCGUCUUCCACCUCCAGCCAUGCGGUGAGUGCCUGCUUUUGCCGGGGCGGGCGGAGACGGAGGCAGGAAGGAGCUCGGGCAGCCGCAGCAGCCGGCGAAGGUGCCCCUCGCCCGACGGGGUCACGGGCCAGCUGUUGCAGCUCGCUUGCAAAGUUGCAGCUCCUCCCCGGAGCGCCUUUUGCAACUGCGCGCUCCGUCCGGUUUCUGGCGGCAAGCACUCCCAGCUCUUCAUAAAAAAAGAGGGCUGACGGUUCCCCCCGCUUCCGCAACUUUGGGAAGACUUCCUCACCCCCUGAAAAGCCCACAAAACCGUCUCCCUCCAGUUUGGCUUUUGUACGGCUUGCUGUCGUGCUCUGCAAAGUUUUUGCAAACCAGCGAACGAGCCGAGCUCGCUUUGCGCACGCAGAAGGGGAAGCAAAAGGGAAGCGGCCCUUUUUUGACAGGAGGAUGGAGGGGAAUUUAAACAAAAGGGAGGGCAGGUUUCGCUGCGCGUAAACAACUCCGAGCAAGAAGGCAGAUCCUGUACUGGCCCGUGUCAAGGUGUUUUUUUUGCGGCUUGGGGAAGGGCCACAUACAAAAAUUAAAGGGUUUGGGGGCGCUUCUUCUUGGCCAGCCGCAACUCCCCAAAGAUCUGCGGAGCGAGCACCGAGCUCUCCUUUUUGCUCCUAGCUUAAGGGAACAAGAGGUUUGAAGCCUUUGUCAAAUACUGGGUUUUCAAGCUAUUGUUAGUGAAAAGGGAGUGCUGUUUUGGCAACAUCCAGCGGUAUUUUCUGUACUUGACUUUUUGAAGACAAAACAAAACAUAAUGGGCUUUAGUUGCUGCAAUUGCUCUUGUUGAAAUAAGGUAGUUGAUGGUCUUCGAGUUAUUUGCAAGCGAAACAGAGGCAGUGGAUGUUGUGCAAUUCAGUUUGGUUUUGGUUUUUAAAGCGGUUGUCAGCACUUCCUUGAGUCUUUUGUUUUGUUUUUUUUGAGGUUGCUGGGUUUUCCCCCCUUCUCUUCUCUCCUCCCUCGCCUCCCUUUCCUUAGAAGCAAAGUGACUCCGGUAUAAUCUUGUGGGGGGGAACUUCUCCAGCGUUUGGCCAUUGGAGGGAACGGGGCGAUUCUUAUCCCUACUUUUGCAGGAUGCACAAAUCUCAUUCAUUCCCUUUUCUGGCUUUCUGGUUGCUUUGCUCCUCAGCAAAAAGAGCUGUAGGUGGCAGAGCAGUUCAGCUCAUUGGGGACUCACAAAUCUUGACCGCUGCAAGCAUUUCCUGUAAGGUGUCCAGUCCCGGGAUGUGUGCGGCUGACCAAUAUAUGAGUUGCAAAAGGUGCCAUUAACUCUGCGAGGUCCUUUCCAAACAAGUGCACCUGUUCUCUUUUUAUAGCUAUAUUCUUUGUCUCUUGUUACUAGAAUUACCUGUCCUGGGGUAGCCACAAUAUCGGAACCCAAGUGGACUUCUGGGAUUAUCCAGCUGAGUAUAAAGACAAGUGUUUGUGUUGAUGAUGGUCAACGCUAAUUAUCUGAUAGCCUUUGAUGUUUGCAGCUUCUCGUGCCUCAUGUGAAACUGUCAGCUUCUCCAGAUUGUUGUAUUCUGCAGCUCCUAAACAAGAUGAGGGUUUGAGCCAAUGAGUCUCAAAGCCUUGCUGAAUUAGGGAUUUCCCCCGCAUGUGAAGACAGGUUCUGUUGUUGUGAGUGGAUGAGAAUGGUAGUGGGUCCAAUGGUCAAGAAGGCGGUUUUUGCACUUGCUGUAGUAGAGGGAAGUGAGGGGCAGGUGGGGCUCGUACACCUGGGAAGGAAGCCCUUCUAGGAGAAGGAAAGCUCUGGUCCUAAACCUCCGCUGUCUUGUGGGAUAGCUUCGGGAGACGAAAAGGCUAAGGCAGAGAUUUCCAAACUUUUCACGUUGGUGACACACUUUUUAGACAUGCAUCAUUUUGCGACACAGUGGGGAGCGUCUGUGUGACACACCUAGGCACUGCCGCUGACGCACUAAUGUGUCUUGAGACACAGUUUGGAAUGCUCUGAGCUAAGAAGUACAGAGGUGCCUUGGUUCUCGAACGGCUUAGUUGUCGAACAAAUUGGCUCCCGAAUGGCGCAAACCCUGAAAUAAGUGUUCCGGUUUAUGAAUGUUUUUCGGAAGCCAAACAUCUGACGUGGCUUCCACUUAGCAAGCUCCUGCAGCCAAUCAGAAGGCAUGCCUUGGUUUUCGAACGGUUUUGGGAGUUGAACAGACUCCCAGAACAUAUUAAGUUCGAGAACCAAGGUACCACUGUGAACCCUACACAAAUCCAGAGUGAGGUCCCUAAGACAGUUGGAUGGCGCCUUGUACUCCUCCUUCUGGCAACUGCUGCAACUAAGUUGGUACAGCUUGCUCUGCUUUCCUUUGUACCACAGCAGUGAGGCCGAGGGGGGGUCUUGUCACCUGGGCAGCCCAGGACCUCCAGUCACACUCCAUACAUUGCAGGGGGUUGGACUAUUACUAUUAUUUAUUAACUUUGUAUACCGCCCUUCAUCUGAAGGGCAAGCCAGUGUGGCAUAAUGGUUAUCGUGUGUUGGACUAGGACAUGGGAGACCAGGGUUCAAAUCCCCACAUGAAGCACACUGGGUGACGUUGGGGUGGUUGCCUUCUCUUAGCCUAAUCCGCCUCGCAGGGGUGUUGUGAAGAUGAAAUGGGGGAGGAGGAGAACCACGUACGCCACCUUGAGCUCCUUGGAAGAAAAAGAUGGUAUACAGAUGUAAUAAAUGAAUAAUAAAUAAAAAAAUAAAAUGAGAAUACAAAAUACACAAUGGCGCGAAAACAUAGCAAUAAUCCACCUCCCAUAAACACAUUUUAAAAGCCAUAGAAUUAAUCAGCUGAAUAAUAAUAAUAAUAAUAAUAAUAAUUUAUUAUUUAUACCCCGCUAUCUGGCUGGGUUUCCCCAGCCACUCUGGGCGGCUUCCAACAGAUUAUUAAACGACAAUAAUCUAUUAAACAUUAAAAGCUUCCCUAAACAGGACUGCCUUCAGAUGUCUUCUAAAAGUCUGGUAGUUGUUUUCCUCUUUGACAUCUGGUGGGAGGGCGUUCCACAGGGCGGGCGCCACUACCGAGAAGGCCCUCUGCCUGGUUCCCUGUAACUUCACUUCUUGCAAUGAGGGAACCACCAGAAGGCCCUUGGCGCUGGACCUCAGUGUCCAGGCAGAACGAUGGGAGUGGAGACGCUCCUUCAGGUCUACUGGGCUGAGGCCGUUUAGGGCUUUAAAGGUCAGCACCAACACUUUGAAUUGUGCUCGGAAACGUACUGGCUUGGAAUGCCUGGCAGAAGAGAAGCAUUUGUGCUUGGCACCUUAAUAUAUGUAAUGAAGGUGCCUGGAGAGCCUUCUUGGGGAGAGCGUUCCACAAACAGGGAGCCACCGCAGAAAAGGCCCGCUCUCAUGUUUCCACCCUCCGGAGACUAGGUGAACCUCGUGGUCUCUUCCAGCUCUACAAUUCUGUGAUUCUGUAAAAAAGAGGGGAGUUGGCUUCUUGAACAUUUGGAGCUGUCCUUAUGUUGGGGAGAGGGGGGCUUUUUCGUUCAGGGUAGCUGAGUGCUGCAUACUUUCAUAGAAUCAUAGAGUUGGAAGAGACCACAAGGGCCAUCGAGUCCAACCCCCUGCCAAGCAGGAAACACCAUCAGAGCACUCCUGACAUAUGGUUGUCAAGCCUCUGCUUAAAGACCUCCAAAGAAGGAGACUCCACCACACUCCUUGGCAGCAAAUUCCACUGUCAAACAGCUCUUACUGUCAGGAAGUUCUUCCUAAUGUUUAGGUGGAAUCUUCUUUCUUGUAGUUUGGAUCCAUUGCUCCGUGUCCGCUUCUCUGGAGCAGCAGAAAACAACCUUUCUCCCUCCUCUAUGUGACAUCCUUUUAUAUAUUUGAACAUGGCUAUCAUAUCACCCCUUAACCUCCUCUUCUCCAGGCUAAACAUGCCCAGCUCCCUUAGCCAUUCCUCAUAAGGCACUUUAACUGGCAGUGCGUCUCCAGAGUCCCUGGCUUUUGUUAUUCGGCUACCCGGGACCCCUUUUCUUCUGGAGCUACACAAAGGUGAUGAGCCUGCAAGCCUUACGCAUGUAAGGUGUCCUGUGUCCUGCCGCUUGGCUGUGUCAAACCGCGAUCAAAUAGGGAAUGGCAGCUCCAGACCUUGGGAGCAAUAGAAAUUAGGAAUGGAAGAGAGAGAGAAAGAGAGAACUUCUUAGUAACGGAGGAAGGAGGGGAGAACUUUGAAAGUAAGGGCUGCUAUGGCAGCAUGCCGGCGUCAGCUCCUAAAGAGAGGAAUGGUGUAACGGGCAGAAAUGCAGAGUUCUUGCAAAAGCCACUUCCAUGCUUCUGGAGGUGGGAUGGAUGGAAGGAAGGAAAUGGGGAUUGUGUCCUGGCCCAGUUCCCAUGAAAUUGUUCUCCUUGGCCAUAGCACCCCGGGUAUAGGGCAGUGGGUGAUGCGGGUGGCGCUGUGGGUUAAACGACAGAGCCUAGGACUUGCCGAUCAGAAGGUCGGUGGUUCAAAUCCCCGCGACGGGGUGAGCUCCCAUUGCUCGGUCCCUGCUCCUGCCCACCUAGCAGUUCAAAAGCACGUCAAAGUGCAAGUAGAUAAAUAGGUACCGCUCUGGCAGGAAGGUAAACGGCGUUUCCGUGCGCUGCUCUGGUUCGCCAGAAGCGGCUUAGUCAUGCUGGCUGUACGCCGGCUCCCUCGGCCAAUAAAGCAAGAUGAGCACCACAACCCCAGAGUUGGCCAUGACUGGACCUAAUGGCUAGGGGUCCCUUUACCUUUAUAGGGCAGUAGAUAAAUUUAAGUAAUAAUAAUAAUGAUAUUCCCAAUCCGGCAUUGCCGUGCUCCUUCUAGAACACUGCGAACCGGAGCUUCUCCCUUCUCCAGGUAAGCGGAAGGAGGUCCCCCAGGUAUGAUGCUCAAGAGAUCUGGAACAAGCACAAUCUUCAUUUGCACUGUCCUGGGAUUAUCAUUUGCCUUAAAACGAUUCCAAAUGUUGUUUUUUGAACUGUUGUGACCCGCCCUGGGACCUUAGGGCAGAGGGCAGGCAAAAUAAAAAAACAACAAAGGCCGGGACAUCAGGAUGGGUUGGUUUGACACCGAAAUUAUGAUGCACAUUACGAUUUAGCAAAUGCAUCCCACUGGUGUUGAGGGUUGAGGCUGCAGCGAUGAUGAGUCACAGCAGAGGUUGAAAAGUGUUGCAAUUAGGGAGAUCCACAAUCACUAGUUGGGAUGGUGGCGGCAUUUGUGGUCGGCCCAUUAUAUUGAGAGAGAAAAGGGGAGUUAUCUCUUCAAAACCAAUGAAUAAUAUUUCGUCAAACGGAAUGGCAGGUGGAAGCUGAGAAAGAUCUAGAAUGCUCUCUUGGAUUUCUCCCUUGGUUUCUGAUAGAAAGGUUUGGGUAUGAGGCAGGGCUUUAAACGAGGGCUCGGAUUUGUGUUUGCACAAUAAACUGUGGUUUCUUGUUGUUGUUUAGUCGUGUCCGACUCUUCGUGACCCCAUGGACCAGAGCACGCCAGGCACUCCUGUCUUCUACUGCCUCCCGCAGUUUGGUCAAACUCAUGCUGGUAGCUUCGAGAACACUGUCCCACCAUCUCGUUCUCUGUCAUCCCCUUCUCCUUGUACCCUCCAUCUUUCCCAACAUCAGGGUCUUUUCCAGGGAGUCUUCUCUUCUCAUGAGGUGGCCAAAGUCUAGGAGCCUCAGCUUCAGGAUCUGUCCUUCCAGUGAGCACUCAGGGCUGAUUUCCUUAAGAAUGGAGAGGUUUGAUCUUCUUGCAGUCCAUGGGACUCUCAAGAGUCUCCUCCAGCACCAUAAUUCAAAAGCAUCCAUUCUUCGGCGAUCGGCGAGUAGCCCACUGGUGGUAUAUGCUGCUCAGUUGCUCCGGCUUAGCUCUUCUCCUAGAGAGAGCAAGAUGAACAAAUGGGACCAGCAGCAAACCAUGGUUUAUGUUUAGGAGCAGCCAGCCACUACCAAGUAUUUAACCAUAACUGGAAGCCAAGGUUAGUUGUGGAUUCUGAGUUUGUUCUUUCUGCUUGCAUUAGAGGAGAAGGAAUGCAAGAGUGCUUGGGCAGUGUCAGUUCUCUGCUUUUUCACAGUAAACCAUGACAAGCCAGAAACCACCACUUUUCGUAAUGCAUGAGUGCAGCCUUUAUUUUGCAACGUUUUUGAGAGUUGGCUACCCUAGAAAAACUAAAGCUGGCAAACCUGUUGCAGUAUUUCCAAGCUGCAGAGCAGCUUUGAGCAGUUUGGUCGGCUGUCUGUACCUGCACUCGAGAGAAGUUUUAAUUGUUGGGCACCGACAAUCCCUCUGGGAGUGUUCUGGUCUCUUGAAGGCCAAGCAAAUUGCCUAGAUCCGUGGUACAAAAUGAAUAAAUCUCAUACCUGUCGACGCUUCAGGGAAUAUAUUUUCAAACACACACAGGACGUACUGUUCUGUGCUGAUGGAGAGCUGUAAAUAUCCAGUUUUACAUGAGCAGUCAUCACUUCCUAAAGUGAAGCCUCUUGCUUGUAGGCGUCACUCCAAAAUCACAGCGCGUAGGAUACAUUAAGCAGCUCAUACGGAUGGCGUUUGGUUGGCAGUGGGGCUGUAAGGCCUUGACCUUUCUCUUCUCCUCCCUCCUCCCUUGUAGCACUUGCAAUAAUGUACAGGAAUGAUAAUUUGGGGAAGGGCCAUAGCUCAGUCAUAGAAUCGUAGAAUUGUAAGGGACCCUGAGAGUCAUCUCGGCCAACCCCCUGCAAUGCAGGAAUCUCAACACACAGUUGGUCUCCCAUCCAAUUUGAAAGCAUACCGGACCCUGCUUAGCUUUGCAAACGUGCCAGCAGACUAUCCUGAGCUUAGAUAUUCCAAUUGUCAGACUCAGGCCUCAUCUGUGUUGCACAUUUAAAGCUGUAUCAUACCACUUUAAGUAGUACUGGCUUCCCCCAGAGAAUCCUGGGAGGUGUAGUUUGUUACGGGUGCGGAGAGUUGUUAGCAAACCCAUUUUCCCUUUGCAGAGCCACACUUCCCAGAGUUCCCAGGGAAGAGGGAUUGAUUGUCAAACGAAGGUCAACGGUUCGAAUCCCCGCAAUGGGGUGAGCUCCCGUUGCUCGGUCCCUGUUCCUGCCAACCUAGCAGUUCGAAAGCACGUCAAAGUGCAAGUAGAUAAAUAGGUACCUCUCUGGCGGGAAGGUAAACGCCAUUUCCGUGCGCUGCUCUGGUUUUUCCAGAAGCGGCUUAGUCAUGCUGGCCACAUGACCCGGAAGCUGUACGCAAGCUCCCUCGGCCAGUAAAGCGAGAUGAGCGCCGCAACCCCAGAGUUGGUCACGACUGGACCUAAUGGUCAGGGGUCCCUUUACCUUACCUAACAUCGCUCAGCACCCUGAAAAAAACUACAGUUCCCAGGAUUUGGGGGGGCGCCUCUCCUGGUAUGCCCCGCGGAGGACCUUAAGGUCCACAAAUGACAACAUUUUGGAGGUCCCAAGUCGCAAGGUGGUUAGAUUGGUCUCAACUAGGGCCAGGGCCUUUUCAGUACUUUCCCCGACUUGGUGGAACGCUCUGUCCCAAGAGACCAGGGCCCUGUGGGACUUGACAUCUUUCCGCAGGGCCUGCAAGACAGAACUGUUCCACCUGGCCUUUGGUUUGGACUCAGUCUGACCCUUAUGUUUCCCUCCCCUUAUGGUUUUGAUCUGUGGGCUACUAUUAAAAUGAGGCUGCUUUUUAAAUUGUAUUUUAACCUGUAUUUUAAAUUGGUUUUUUUUCUUCCCCCUAUUAUGUUUUUAUUGUUAUUUUACUAGUGUUAGCCGCCCUGAGCCCAGCUCCGGCCGGGGAGGGCGGGGUAUAAAUAAAAUUUAUUGUUAUUAUUAUUAUGACUGUUAAAAGUGUGUGUGUGUGUGCUUUCAAUGUAUAUUGCAGAUGCAACCUCAGCGAAAGGCAGUUUCCUGUCUUCCUAAGUGAAUGGUUAUUCAUCUUUUGCAAAACAUGUCUUCUUUCUGAAGGUUCUGUUCUGCUUUUAUCUGUGCCCUUUCCUUCAGCGCAAACCUGCCUGGAAUAUGAUUCUUGUUACAGAUUGUCACGUACCUAUAAGGAAGGGAUGCAUUUGUCCACACAAACACACACAAAUCUACCUGUAGGGGAGUCUGGCAAAUCUUUGCUUCAUUUCUGCCCCUCACUCCUGACAAGAUUGGGCAUGCCACAUUUCCUCUGUUUUUUUUGGUGCUUUUGUUUGUGGCGAUCAUAUUUGUGGAUUGGUCGUUGUCAAUAAUUAAAAAAUGCAUUGCCUUGGACUUUCUGGGCGGCCAGAUUUACCGGAUAUGUGGGCCUUUAAGAUGCCAUUAGAGCCUAUCUCCUGUUCUGAAGCCAUCUAUGGCUUUGCAAGGCGUAGAAAUGACAGAAAUAAACUCCUAGAGCCCAGGCAAACUGCUUGAUGUACGAUCUUAUGCAAGGUUCCCAACUGACACUUCGUUUGAGGACAGUUUGCAUAAUUAACUGUUGGGUAACAUGCCUGACCCCCAUCGCAUGCCAGUAAACACAUUAUCCGACUUGUGUUUUGAUUUUGUGUCUCUCACCGCCCCAAAAAACCCAGCACAAGAUCCUUGCAUAUUUUUGCAUAUUGCAGAACAUUUCAUUCUUCAUUCUUGUCACUUGCAAAAAUGAUGCGUGAGGCUGUUCCUUACAUCCAUAUGCCUGGAGGGCAAGGGAUCUGCAGCUUCAGAUGUUUCUGUGCCACAGGGACAGGUCUAUACUUGCCUGGUUUCUUUUCCUGGUUUCCGUUCAAAAUUGCAAAACAAAAGUUGCAAAUGCUUGAAAUCUCCCUGUUGGGCUGUCCAAUAAGUCCAAUAAGUUUGAGCGGAGUUAGCGCUGGCUAUAAUAUACGGCAAAUGGCAAUUUUCAAAACAAGCGUCCUUGUCAUCCCAGGAACACCUUUUUUCUUUAAGAGGGCAAUUUCUUUGUCAGGGCUUUGGUUGCAGAGGGGGAAGCAACAACAGCCCGAGUUGUUGUUUUGCUAUUGUCUGAAAUAACACAUCAUUCCAGAGAAGUUUUCCGCCCUUUAAUUAGAUGGAUCACAAAGGCGUGGCCCAAACAUAAUUUGGCUGCUUAUUACACAAGCAAGGGGGGAUGAAUGUCUGGUUAGCUAACUUGACCUUUUUCAGAGCUUCAGUUUUCCAUCUGUGAAAUGGGAACAAUCGGCUCCCAAAUACAAGUUGCAAGAGAGUGGUGGCCUUCUGUUAGCUGGAGAUUCUUGCAUACAGUGCAAGAACAGCUGUGAGUCCUGCAUUUUUUUGGGGGGGGGGUGGCGGUCUUGACUGGAUAACCCUUUGAGUCUCUUCCAUCUCUACAAUUCUGUGAUUCCACAAAUGCCUCGACUGACAAUAUGAGGAAGUGCCUUAGUUUCAGAUCCUGAUCACUUUCAUUUCUGCAGAAGAAACUGGUGUAUCUCUAUCUUAGCCUUUUCUGACUUCGUACCAGCAUUAGAAACUCAGAUAUAUAAGCUAAAUGCCAACUGGCAGCUUAAACGUUGUUGUUGUUGUUUAAUCAUUUAGUUGUGUCCGACUCUUCGUGACCCCAUAGACCAGAGCACUCCAGGCACUCCUGUCUUCCACUGCCUCCCACAGUUUGGUCAAACUCAUGCUGGUAGCUUCGAGAACACUGUCCAACCAUCUCGUCCUCCAUCGUCCCCUUCUCCUUGUGCCCUCCAUCUUUCCCAGCAUCAGGGUCUUUUCCAGGGAGUCUUCUCUUCUCAUGAGGUGGCCAAAGUCUUGGAGCCUCAGCUUCAGGAUCUGUCCUUCCAGUGAGUAGUCAGGGCUGAUCUCCUUCAGAAUGGAUAGGUUUGAUCUUCUUGCAGUCCAUGGGACUCUCAAGAGUCUCCUUCAGCACCAACCUUAAACCUAGGUUGCCACAAUGGAAUGUUUAGGCGCCAUUUCCCCGGCAAUUGAAUUUAUUAUUUUUAUUAUUACUCAUUUCAUUUCUAUACCUCUUUCUAUUUUAAAGGAAAAAAAUCUCAAUGCGGUUUGCAAGACAUUCAAACGUCAAAUAAAACAAUCCAGAAUGAAACAAAUUCACAAGGAAAAGAUUUCAGGACCUUCUCCAACUGACAUUUUGCUUUCCCCAUAUUUUAUCUACCUACUUAAUUUAUAUAGCUGCCCCAUAGCAGAAGUACUCUAGGAAGCCAGUGUGGUUUAGUGGUUAGAGAGUCGGGCUAGGACCUGGGAGAUCAGGGUUCAAAUCCUCAGUCAUAAAGCUCACUGGGUGACCUUGGACCAGUCACAGCCUCCUAAUCUACAUCACAGGGUCAUUGUAGGGAUUAACUACAACGUGAACCAUAUACUCCGUGGAGAAAAAGGUGGGAUGUACAUUCAAUAGGUAAGCUCUUUUGCUGACCUGCUUAAGAAAGCCAGAGGGGCCAGCCAGAUGGAGAUGUCAUUCAGUAUUCUGGCACCCAGAGGUCUCCAUAUGGUCUCAGUUGGACCUGCAUUUUGCAAAACACGCCUAGCUUGGUGGCUCCUUGCAGAUUUUCAUUUGUUUGUUUUGAAAUCAUUUUUAUUUGAUUUUCCAAUACAAAAUUAUAAAAAAUUCAAAUACAUAUCCAUAUACAGAGAUUCCUCCGAACCCUUUUUAGAUUAAUUUUUAUUAAUUCUCAAUUAUAUAAUAUUUAAACACAUCAUCAUUAUCCAUUUUACUUCUUUAGCUCUUAAGAGCCUGUCGACUCCCCUCCUUUCCACCUCAUGGUUUUCAAAGUUAACCUUUAUCUCAUAGCAUUUAUACGUUUUCCAGUUUACGUUUCACUCCUUCAAAAUGUCACAAUUUUUAAAUAAAUAUAAAAAGGGAAGAACAGUUGUCAUUACAAGUCUUUUUAUGACCCUGCUAGUGUUGUUAAUUGCUUGCAAUAGUCCUUCAGAUAUUGUAUAAAUUUACUCCAAUCUUUUUGGAAUGCUUGGUCACGCUGGUUUCGGAUUUUCCCCGUCAGCUUCGCCAAUUCUGCAAAGUCCAUCAUCUUCGUCUGCCACUUUUCUUUCGUUGGGACUUCUUGUUGCUUCCAUUUUUGGGCUAAAAUAAUUCUUGCUGCAGUUGUUGCAUACAUAAACAGUUUUCUUUAUCUCCUUUUGGUAUCUCUUCCCCCACUAUACCCAUUAAAAUGCUUCUGGUUUUUUAACAAAAGUAUUUUAUAGGUUUUCUUUAACUCAGAUUCCUCCAAAUCUCAGGACUUCCCCUGGAGUCCCAUUUUAAACAUUUAAAACCGCAUCUUCUUCCAGACUCUUAACUAUUAUAUUAUAGCCCAUCAGCUUGGUUUGCCAUUCCUCUCUGGUAGGAAGCACCUUGCAGAUAUAUAUAUAUUUUAAAAAAUAAUUUUAUUGAAAAUUUAAACAAAACAUAUUAUCCAAAAACAUAUCAUCCUUAAUCCCCCCCCCAUUUUUCCUCCCUCCCCCCCACAACACCCCACCCCCCGACUUCCCUCAGUUCCAGUCUUUGGUUUCUCUGUAAAUUCUGUUCUCUGCAUGUUACAAAGUUGUAUAGAUCCUUAAAUUAUAUGACUUAUUAUUAUCAAUAAAAAGUUUGUGAAUGUUUAUUCAAAACCUGCCAAGGAGUCCAAUUCACUUUGUUGCGUCUUCAAAUGUUUUGUAAAGGGUUCCCACUCAUCUUUAAAAUCACAGUUAUCCUUGUCCCGUAGCUUAUGUGUCAGUUUUGCCAGUUCUGCAUAGUCCAUCAGUUUUUCUUGCCAUGCCUCUUUAGUUGGAGUUUCUUCAGUCUUCCAUCCUUGUGCUAUUAGGACUCUCGCGGCCGUUGUCGCAUACAUGAAGAUGUUUUUCAGCUUUUUUGGCAGGUCUUUCCCUACAAUCCCUAACAAAAAUGCUUCAGGUUUUAAAACAAAUGUUAGAUGGAACAUUUUCUUCAAUUCAUUAUAUAUCAUUUCCCAAUUUUUUAAAAUUACAUUACAGUCCCACCACAUAUGAUAAAACGUCCCCUCCUUUUCCCCUACACUUCCAACAUAUAUUUGAACUAGUUUUAUACAUUUUCCCUAACUGCACUGGUGUCGCAUACCAUCUGUACAUCAUCUUCAUGUAGUUCUCCUUCAACAGGGAACAGUCUGUGAAUUUUAAAUCCGUUUCCCAUAAUUUUCCCCAAUCUCCCAUCAUAAUGUUGUGACACCUUGCAGAUAUUUUGCGCUCCAAGCCAGCGUGGCUGUUGUGCCUGAGGCUGCUGGAAACUGUAGCCCAAAACAUUUCGGCAGGAGGGAAAGGCAAUGUUCUUUGUCAAGGUGGGCAGUGCGCGACAUGUUGUGGCAUUCCCUCGUCGGCUGUUCCUGCUGCGCUUGGAACAGGAAGGUCUGGAUUUCUGCCUGCGGCUAAGUGUCGUCCAGGAUGGAACCAUUUUCUUUUCUUUGGGAGGGACUGGGAGCAUCUGAGAAGUGGUAUGUGCCAAUUGCCUCAAGGGUUCGUCGCGGGCACCACGUAAACAGACAGACGCUCCCCGUGAGCAUUGCAGGGAGACUGAGUUGUCAGAACAAGGAUGCUCAGAAGCUGUGAGGCACUUUCUGUUUCAUAACUGGGAUAUUGCAAAGUAAGGAAUGUUGUCUAACUGGGCACGGGCUGCCCCAAAGUGGACCGCGAGGCCCACGAGCGAAUUGUGGGGGCCCUGUGUGCGAGUUGUCGAGCCGGAUGUUGCCAGUCUGGGUGUCUUCAGCUCCUCACCUGUUGAGGGUGCUUUGAGAAGACAUCUGAAGGCAGCCCUGUUUAGGGAAGCUUUUAAUGUUUGAUGCAUUACAGUCAUACCUUGGGUUGAAUAUGCUUCAGGUUGAGCAUUUUCAAGUUACGCUCCGCGGCAACCCGGAAGUAACGGAGCGCGUUAAUUCCGGGUUUCGCCGCUGGCGCAUGCGCAGAUGCUCAAAAUGACGUCACGCGCAUGCGAGGAAGUGGCAAAACGCGACCCGCGCAUGCGCAGACACGCAGUCGCGUCUUAUGUUCUAUUCAGGAUGCGAACAGGGCUCCAAAACGGAUACCUUUCACAUUUCGAGGUACCACUGUAUUGUAUUUUAAUAUUUUGUUGGAAGCCGCCCAGUGUGGCUGGGGAAACCCAGCCAGAUGGGCGGGGUAUAAAUAAUAAAUUAUUAUUAUUAUUAUUAUUGAGAAGACACAUUGCAAGUGCAAGAGGAAAGGGGUUUUCUCUUCCAGAUCAUGGGUUUGAACCGCAAAACGACAUGCUUAUAUCAGUUGCUGCCCUGUUUAAAAAUGGUCAGAAGCGUCUUCUUAAACUUAUGCCCCCCCCCCCGAUGUUUCUGGGCUGGCAGCUUCCAGCAUCCCUGAAACUUUGGCCGAUGGGACUUGGCGUCUAACAACAUCUGGAGAGCCAUGUGUUUUCUACCCCAGCUCUAGAACAUCUGCAGGGCAUUACAGUGGUACCUCAGGUUAAGUACUUAAUUUGUUCCAGAGGUCCGUUCUUAACCUGAAACUGUUCUUAACCUGAAGCACCACUUUAGCUAAUGGGGCCUCCUGCUGCUGCUGCGCCGCCGGAGCACGAUUUCUGUUCUCCUCCUGAAGCAAAGUUCUUAACCUGAGGUAAUAUUUCUGGGUUAGCGGAGUCUGUAACCUGAAGCGUAUGUAACCUGAAGCGUAUGUAACCUGAGGUACCACUGUAUUGCUUCAGACGACUUUCAGUGGGCAGGAUAUUUGGUGUGAAAAGGGGGCGGGGCGCAGGGUAUGUGGGUUUAAAACAUACAUUACUGUAGUAGGGUUUUAUGUGGGAUGCUUUUGGAAAAUUAGAGUGCAAAGCUUUUAAUAAAUGGAUGCAAGGAGCCUACAAAAUCAAGGUGUCAUAAUUUAAGUGGAAGCUCCAGAACUGGUAGGGCACAAGGCUUUUGCUUUUAGAAGCUGAUGUGUCUAUAAAGGGGGAGAUUGAAAUUUAAAGGUGGUUUCAGCCGAGUAGCUUAUUUAUGAGCCUUUUCCUCUCCUGAAGACAUCCCGCAAGGCUCACGUGUUACUCAAAGUUGGCCCAUUGAAAUUAAUGCGCCUAGCCUAAUUAUGGUCAUUGAUUAUGGUCUACUCUGAGUAAAAGCUAGUUGACUGCCACCCAUGGUUCUGAAGUACCAUGGUUGGUCCUGCAGAAAUUCCAGCUCACAUACAGAAAGUGGGGAAGUUAUCCAAAGACCUAAGAGAAUAAGUUUUAAAGAUUGAAAUCGUAUUGUAUUUGCUUAUUUCCUAUAAUACUGACAUUUGAUAUUCCUAUAAUAUUUCAAUAUGAAACUUUGAAAUCCUGCAUCACAGUUUGCAGCAAACCAUGGUUUCCUGUUGUGUCCAAACCCAGUCAGCCAAAGCUUGCCUCCAAACCGUGGACAGCAUCUAGCUAAACAGUUCUGCUAGUGUGAGGACUUAGAGCUGUGGAAUUUCCCUAUCCUAUCCUCCGCCUUCAUGCCCCCUAAAUUUGUUUUGGGUUUCCCCCCAAACCCUUUGGAGGGGAUUUAGAGGAGGGAGACAUAGGGAAAGUAGAGGGCAGAAAUGUUCCAUUGCCUGUCUGGAAGUCCUUGCGCUCGUAGAAUCAGCUUUGUUUUCAAUCCCGGAUUGCCAGAUUCGGGAUGGAAUGGCAAACUGGUUUGUCACAUACUAAGGUUAUGCCAAAUCCCUGUGUCUAAUUGAAGGAAGGCAUGCAGAACCUCAGCUUGUGUCUGCUUGCUCUCCCCCAAGUUAUGUCUUAACAGCCUUUUCGUGUGUUGAGAUGACACGGCGUCAUGGUGUUCCUACACAACCGGAUUUCUUGUCUAAAGCACUCUGUCUGCGACAAAAAUGUGUAGCUUUGGGGACAAAACAAUUUCUUCUUUUUCAAGUCCGUGCCUUGGUGCAUUUUCCCGUUGCGUCCCCAGUGUGAUCUGCCUAAGCCAGUCCCUUCACACUUUCUGCAGAAGAAUUUCCCAAAUCACCAUUAGGCUUAAGGUCAUCCUAAGCUAGGGAUCCAUGAUCACUGCAGAUGGUGACAGCAGUCACGAAAUUAAAAGACGCCUGCUUCUUGGGAGAAAAGCAGUGACAAGCCUAGACAGCAUCUUAAAAAGCAGAGACAUCACCUUGCCAACAAAGCUGUGGUUUUCCCAGUAGUGAUGUAUGGAAGUGAGAGCUGGACCAUAAAGAAGGCUGAUCGCCGAAGAAUGGAUGCUUUUGAAUUAUGGUGCUGGAGGAGACUCUUGAGAGUCCCAUGGACUGCAAGAAGAGCAAACCACUCCAUUCUUAAGGAAAUUAGCCCUGAGUGCUCACUGUAAGGACAGAUCCUGAAGCUGAAGCUCCAGUACUUUGGCCACCUCAUGAGAAGAGAAGACUCCCUGGAAAAGACCCUGAUGUUGGGAAAGAUGGAGGGCGCAAGGAGAAGGGGACGUCAGAGGACGAGAUGGUUGGACAGUGUUCUCAAAGCUACUAACAUGAGUUUGACCAAACUGCAGGAGGCAGUGGAAGACAGGAGUGCCUGGCGUGCUCUGGUCCAUGGGGUCACGAAGAGUCGGACACGACUAAACAACAACAACAAAGCUAGGGAUGGGGAACCUGCCACUCUCCAGAUGUUGCUGUACUCCAUCUCCUACCAGCCCCUGCCUGGCAUAGCCAGUGGUCAGGGAUGAUGGGAAUUGGGGUCCGACAGUAUCCCGAGCACAAUAGGGGACUGGGUUUAGGUAGUGGAUCUGGCCUUACCUCCCCAACUCUCUGCAGGUUGGGUUUGACAGAUGGGCCCGCUGUCAACGAUGUCGUGAGCUCACGCCCUGUGCUUUGCAAGCCCUAACAAUCAGCUAAUAAGGUGCCUGCAAAGCUCCUGCUUUCUUUACCUGCUCCACACCUGAUGUCGCAUAUAAAACGUAGUAUGGCUGGUGGACUUGGCUUGACCAGAUUUUUUGGGGGGUGGGGCAAGAGAGGCCUAAUUUGGCCCUCAGACCAGAGGUUCCCCACCACCCAUCUAAAGGCCAUCCAACACGUCCUCAGCGCUGCACAACAAAGAAGAAAUUAAGUCCCUGCCGAAAUGGGGUAUCUUCCUUGAGCUGUCACUCAGGCUGUGUCGCAGGAGGCUGCCGACAGUAAAUAACACUGAUCACAGUUGCAGUUUUCAUUAGCAAAAACACAAUCUUCUCAGACUUGGCUGAGUGAGCACAGUAAGUUAUCUCGGGUAGGUCUUGCUUCCAUGAAGCAGUUUCUGAGAAUGAAGAUGUUGGAAAACACCCUGGGGUACACGCAGCUCUGGAAAAGGCAUCUCCCUUCUCUUCCAGUGCGUUCAGCGACAUAUACCAGAUGGUAUAUGCACACUAACAUGCCUGGCAUAACACAGCAAGAAGCGUGAGGCACCGCAGAGCUAAUCUACUAUUUAUUUGCACACUAUGUACAGACAAAAGCAUAGUGGCGUCCGUUCUCUCCAGCUCCGAGAGAACAACAUGCAAAGUAAAAGUGAAACAUUACAAAGUACAUACUGUACAGUGGAAGAGAUAAGACUGUCUUCCGUUUCCCACACUUUUCUCAGACAGGCAUGUGAUUUACACCAAUCACAAAUCAGCAUCGGAGAAGUGAAAUUACUAACAGAAGAUCCCUGCAUCCUCCACAGCUGUCUUAAGUCCCCUCUUCUCCAGGGCUUUCCCCAAGCAAUCUGAGACUAUGCCUGCGUGAAGGUAACUACUCCACCCUCUUCACGCCUCUUCUGGUUCUGGGAAACCAGGAGGGAGGGGAAGAAGAAGAAGAGGAGGAGGAGUAGGAGUUUGGAUUUGUAUCCCGCUUUAUCACCACCCAAAGGAGUCUCAAAGCGGCUAACCAUCUCCUUUCCCUUCCUCCCCCACAACAAACACUCUCUGAGGUGAGUGGGGCUGAGAGACUUCAGAGAAGUGUGACUGGCCCAAGGUCACCCAGCAGCUGCAUGUGGAGGAGUGGAGACGUGAACCCGGUUCACCAGAUUACGAGUCCACUGCUCUUAACCACUACACCACAAGGGGAGCUUGUUGCAGCAGGAAGGAGAGACAUCUGUGACUCUGCACCAGCCAGACUCAUCUCUGCCUCUUGGCCUGUCUCGUCCCUUCUUCCUGCUUCAGCUUCUGCCUCCGAUUCUGGUCUUCUUUCUGCCACAGACUCUCCCAGCUCACGAAGAUCUGUUGGCUUCCGACACCUCCUCUUCCCAGUCAUCUCCUUUUGACCACUUCUCAUCCCACCACCAAUCCCCGGGCUCCAAGCUGGUUCCUCCCACCAUUCCUCUGCAUCCAGCCAGUCCAUGAAGUGCUGUGAUUGGGAGCUCUGACCAUUGAAGGCUUUGAACAGCAGCUGAAGCCAGAAUCUGUGCAAAGCAGCAGAGAGACAUUUUUAAGUUGUGUCAUUGCUGUGCCAUGCUGCUCUGGCGGAGAGCGUGGGUUGUGUAUGUGUGUGUGUAGAGUCUUCCGCAUGCAGGAGUGUUUUAGCUCUUACAUCCAGAAUCCUUUCAAUAUUAGAUGGAGGGAAGAAGGUGGAAGUAAGCAGCCCCCCACCAACACCCCAACAUUUCAGAAGCCAUUCUCUGGAAAUGCUGGAGAUCUUACUCCCAUUGCACACAGCAGUGUGAGCGCACUGUCAGCAAACGCAUUGUCCAAGUUGUUCCUGGAAGUGUUGCUGCUGCUGCUACUUGAAUAUUGAAACCUUCCUUAUCGAUUCCUGGCACGGGAAGAUGGGGUUUGGCCUUUUCCUGCUCGGCUUUUGCUGUUUUGCAUAUUCUCCUCGCUUUCCAACAUGGCUUAGAGAAGCUGCUGGUGGCGAAGCACAGAGGAGCAUCGUUCAGGCUGGCCGCUUGUUCCCGUUGCAACUCAGCGUUGCCAUGGGAGGAAAACAGGGCAGUGCAUGUCUUUGUGGCCCCCAGCUGCUUUCUGCAGAAUGCAUUUAUUCACUUGGACUUCUGUCCAGCCCUGGCAUGUAUGUUCUAGAAGGUGCUUGCCAGCCAGGCUAGUUAUCCUCUUGGCUUUGAUUGCACCAUCAAGUUUUCAGAUCCUGGGCAUGGCUGGCAAAAUCACAGCUGUCUGCUAAUUGGCCAGGAGCCUAUUGGAUCCAUCCAGCAUCCCUGGACUGUGGGAUGGUUAGGAGCACUUUCCAGCAGGGAGGGGCAACCUGUUGGGCUCCAGCUGCCAUCAGCUGCAGCUCCUGUGGCCAAUAAUAAUAAUAAUCAAUUUUUAUUUAUAUCCCGCCUUUCCCAGUUCAAAAACUGGGCUCAGGGCGGCUAAUAACAAAUUUAAAACACUUAAUUGUAAAAGCAGCAUAAAAUACAGGAGAAAAACAUGAAUACAGUGGUACCUCUGGUUACAUACGCUUCAGGUUACAUUCGCUUCAGGUUACACACUCCACUAACCCAGAAAUAGUGCUUCAGGUUAAGAACUUUGCUUCAGGUUGAGAACAGAAAUUGUGCAGCAAUGGUGCGGCAGCAGCGGGAGGCCCCAUUAGCUAAAGUGGUGCUUCAAGUUAAGAACAGUUUCAGGUUAAGUAUGGACCUCCAGAACGAAUUAAGUACUUAACCCGAGGUACCACUGUAACAAUAAAAUUCAAAGUUCAGAAAUCAAUUUAGGGGAAAUCCAUCUAAUAAGCAUUAAAUAACCACCAGGGCUAGCUAGCUGAAUUAGUCCUGCUUGGGCCAGCGAGGAGGCCAGGGGAGAAUUAGCUGUGGGGUCUCAGAGCGGGUAAUCUUCAUAAAAGGGGAAGGGGAGGGAAGGGAAGGGAAAUAAAAGAUCAGGCUGAAUUCAAAUUGAAAGCCAGAUGAAAUAGCUCUGUCUUACAGGCCCGACAGAAGGGGGUUAAAUCUUGCAGGGACCUUGUCUCAUGGGACAGAGCAUUCCACCAGGUCGGAGCCAUCACUGAAAAGGCCCUGGCCCUGGUGGAGGAUAGUCUGACUUCCUUAGGGUCCGGGACCUCUAAACUAUGGUUAUUCAUGGACCUUAAGGUCCUCUGCGGGGCAGACCAGGAGAGGCGGUCCCGUAAUACAAGAGGCAGGGGUGAUGGCAGCUGGGAGUCUGGAGGGCCCUGGGUGUCCCAUCCAUACUUUUAAAGCUAAUGACAUGCUGGUUGGAUGCAAAGGAAUGGUGUGAGGAACCAGUUGGAGAAAAACCCCAAAGGGAGAAGGCUCAGAGCCCAGGGAUUGGUGGUGGGGUGAUGUUGGGGGUCAGAGGGAAAAAACUGGGGGGAGGAGGCGUCGGAAGAUGAGGAGGUAACAGGGUUUGGUGAGCAGGGGGAGUUGGUGGCAGAGAGAAGUACAGAAUCGGAAGCAGGAAAGAAGGGAGACCAAGAGGCAGAGAUGACACAGGGGUGUCUCCUGCUCUUGCUAUGACCAGCUCCUCUCCCCCCUGGUCUCCCGGAAUCAGGACAGGCAUGAACAGGGCAGAGGAGAGGUUGGAUUCAUGCAGGCGUAGUCUCCGAUUGCUUGGGAAAAGCCCUGGGGAAGAGGGGGACCUAGGCAGCUGUGAGAAGAAGAGUUUGGAUUUGAUAUCCUGCCUUUCACUCCCUUUAAGGAGUCUCAAAGCGGCUAACAUUCUCCUUUCCCUUCCUCCCCCACAACAAACACACUGUGAGGUGAGUGGGGCUGAGAGACUUCAGAGAAGUGUGACUGGCCCAAGGUCACCCAGCAGCUGCAUGUGGAGGAGCGGAGACGCGAACCCGGUUCCCCAGAUUUCGAGACUACCGCUCUUAACCACUACACCACACAGGGGACCUUCCAUCUCAGCAACUGCUUCAUGGGGGCAAGACCAGCUGGAGAUGAGUUGCUGUGCUCAUUAGGCCUGACACCCCUGUGCUGAUCCUGUUUUUGCUAAUGAAGAGUUUGCACAGUGUGAUUUACUGCCGGCUUGUUCCUGCCAGCUUAGAAAGGACAUCUUGUCUCUGCCUUUGCAAACCUGGUUUCCGCCAGAUGUUGUGGAGCACAACUCCCAUCAGCCCCUGCCAGCACAUGCUCAGCAGUUAGGUAUGAUGGGAAUUGUAGUCCAAAGGAGCUGGAGGGCACCAGGAUGGCGAAGUAACAGAAGGCCUUUACUCCUACAAACUCCUGCUGUCCAAAAGCCAAUUGAAAUGUGACUUUGCCGUUUGGACUCUUGAUGACAAGCAUUCAGGCCUUGCAGAUGAUGAUGAUGAUGAAGAUAAUAAUAAUAUAAUUAUUUAUACCCCGCCCAUCUGGCUGGGUUUCCCCAGCCACUCUGGGUGGCUUCCAACCGAGUAUUAAAAACAAUACAGCGUCAGGCAUUAAAAACUUCCCUAAACAGGGCCGCCUUCAGUUGUCUUUUAAAAGUAAAAUAGUUGUUUAUUGCCUUGACAUCUGCUGGGAGGGCAUUCCACAGGGCAGGCGCCACCACCGAGAAGGCCCUCUGCCUGGUUCCCUGUAACCUCACUUCUUGCAGUGAGCUGGACCUCAGUGUUCGGGCUGAACGAUGGAGGUGGAGACGCUCCUUCAGGUAUACAGGACCGAGGCCGUUUAGGGCUUUCAAGGUCAGCACCAACACUUUGAAUUGUGCUCGGAAACGUACUGGGAGCCAAUGAAGAUCUUUCAGGACCGGUGUUAUAUGUCUCGGCAGUGGAUAUGCAUCUGAGUAUAAUUGGAAAGAGACUUAGAGGAUCGGUCAGGAUGAAAGCAAAGAUGAAGAGCAAAGAUAGCUGUAUAGGGAGUGUAUAGGGAGUGGAUCACUGGAAGGACAGAUCGUGAAGCUGAGGCUCCAGUACUUUGGCCACCUUAUGAGAAGAGAAGACUCCCUGGAGAAGACCCUGAUGUUGGGAAAGAUGGAGGGCACAAGGAGAAGGGGGCGACAGAGGACAAGAUGGUUGGAUAGUGUUUUCGAGGUUACCAGCAUGAGUUUGACCAAACUGUGGGAGGCAGUGGAGGACAGAGGUGCCUGGUGUUCUCUGGUCCAUGGGCUCACGAAGAGUCGGACACGACUAAACGACUAAACAACAACAACAUAAUUGGAAAGAGACUUAGAGGAUCGGUCAGGAUGAAAGCAAAGAUGAAGAGCAAAGAUAGCUGUAUAGGGAGCUACUCCUCUGAGUUCUCCAGAACUCUUCCUCACCCUAAGCAAAUAAGAUGUCUUGGUAUUCAUCUACGUUGCUACCAACCUGAAGAUGGAGGGUGGAAAGAUUGACCCCUGAGGGUCAUCCAGUUCAACCCCCUGCAAUGCAUUUCAGGGGGUAAGACUAUAUGGCCCUCGGAAGCCCUUCGAACUCUAUAAUUCUUUGAUUCUUCGAUUCAAAGCAAUUCCCAUGUGGUCAUCCACUGCAGGGGAAAUUAGGGAAUCCUCUCCUUCCAGAUGAACCAUAACCCCCAAAUUCCCAGUUUCCUUCUGUCCCAUUUCCAGCAAAAUGUGCAGGCACCGUUCUUCUCUUUUGGUGUGUGAGUGAGAAACAAAUCUGCUCCCCUCUUUACAGUGUUGCGUGUUGCUCCUGCCUCUGGAGGAAUUCCUCCCGUAGCUUCCUAAUAAGCACCACGUUUGCUUGGCUCGGAAAUGCCUCCAUUUCAGGUGCCUCCAUCUCUCGAACUUGAGAACUCUGCUGGAUCUGGGCAAGGAAGGUCCAUCAGGACGGACUCCCAGCUCCCAUCAGUCCCAGCCUUCAACAUCAAUAGUUGUGGGAUGAUGGGAGUGGUCACCUAGCAACUUCCAGGGGACUACAGAUGCUCCCUCUCAGGUCUAGUCGAACACCCUGCUUCCCACAGCGCCCACCCAGAUGUUCCCAGAUGUUCCUUCAAGCAGGCCAUGCGGACAUCUGUCCUCCCUUGGUUGCCUAUUCCCCAGCAAGUGACACCUACAGAUACACUGCCACUGAAUCUGGAGUCUCCAUUUAGCUGAUGAUAAUAGCUGAUGAUAAAACUUCCUAGUCUAGUUCAAUGGGGUCUGAAAGUGAAAGGUUGAGGUCUAAUGCUGUCAAAUUUGGGCACCCCAUAUCUCCACGUUGUAGAGAAGCGGUUCCCAAAAUUGGCCGCUACUGCCCUCUGGGGGGGAUUACUGGGGGUGUGUUUGUGCUAAGAGGUGGCAGGGGGCCGCUGAAGUGUAAAGUGACUCUCAGACUUUGGAAAGCUGGUAUCCCUGGACCAAUUUUGUUGAAUUAAUUAAACUGGCUUUAAUUGGGUUUUGAGCAAAUGUGCAAUUCAUGUUUGGAAUUUCAUGGCGUUCUUACGGGGCACAGGGGAUGGGCUUAUGGUUGUCUCCACGGACGCUGAUUUAAGUGCCGUUGCUUAUCUUCUGCUUGUACCCAGAAGGAUAAAAAUAUCAGCCUCUCUCACCCCAGUUUGUCUGCGCAUACCUGUGCUGGGCUGAGUGAUGGAGAGAGUCCGAUGGUUUUUGCCUAAGGCUGGGGCAUAAUUAAGCUCCUAAGUUUGGAUUUCUUGUAAAUUUCUUGCGGAAGGAGCGAUGGAAUGCGGCGGGUUACUUUUUCAACCUGAAGUUCCAGUUUCGGAAGUGUUUGCGCGGUUAUGCGUCCAGUUUGGGAAAACAGAAAAGCCCGUAAAUAAACCAAUCAGGGUUAGAGAUGACUUGUUAAUCCUCCAGCGCCUUACAGCCAGCCUUGGGAAAAGUGCUCAGAACCGCCUAGUAAUUAUAGUGUUGCCUUUACACCCCCCCUCAAGAAAACAUUGAAUAGCUAUCCAUCUAUAUGGGAAAGGAGUAUAGAGUUUAAGUAAACACAGAAUCCUCUGGUAGUCUAGCAAGGAAUGCUACGCCAUGGGGAAGUAAGCUGAAAUUCCUCUCUGGUUUAUGCUUCUAAUGCAGAUAUGUGAGAUACACACACAUAUAUACAUAUAUGACCUAUUUAGUCUGGUAUUGGGGGUUUCAUGUCUCCUCCACCCCCAUUCUGCUCUGCUCUACUUUUUCUGGAAUAACAUUAAAGCAAACACUGACUCCUUCCGAUCAGUGAUUUUCUUUGGGGCUUAAUCCCCUAUUAUUCAGCUUUCAGGUCCCAAGACUCCACACUCCAGUAUAGAGUUCCUUGAGCAUGUGCAGAGUGCCUUGCCACUUCUGUAAACUAGGUGCAGUCGUACCUUGGUUUUGGAACAUCUUAGUUCCUGAAUGUUUUGGCUCCUGAACGCAGCAAACCCGGAAGUGACUGUUCCGUUUUGCAAACUGUUUUUGGAAGCUGAACGUCCGAUGGGGCUUUCGCGGCUUCUGAUUGGCUGCAGGAGCUUCCUGCAGCCAAUCAGAAGCCGCGCUUUGGUUUUCAAACGUUUGGGAAGUCAAACGGACUUUUGGAACGGAUUCUGUUCGACUUCCAAAGUACGACUGUGCAACCCUGCUGCGUAAAUUGGCAAUAAAGGGGAAAGGGGUUGUUGGGCGUAGGAACUAAAGGAGCUGCCUUUUAACCAAGCCGUAGAAUUAUUGAAUUGGAUGGGACCCUGAGAAUCAUCUAGUAGUCCAACCCCCUGCAAUGCAGGAAUAUGCAGCUAUCCUAUACGGGGAUCGAACCUGCAACCUUGCCAUUCUCCGCACCAUGCUCUAUCCUGAGCUACCCUGUGAGUCACACUCUUGGUCCAUCGAGCUCAGAAUUAUGAGCAUCAGCUGGCAGCUGUUUGGGGUUUUAGACAGUAGCCUUUCAUAGUCCUGUCUGGAGGUGCUGGGAGUUGUUUUUAUUUUUAAUUAAAUUUGUAUACCGCCCUUCAUCCGUAGAUCUCAGGGCUGUCUACAACAUAAGUUUCCAUUUGAACCUGGUACCAUCUACAGACAAAGCAGAUCCUCUGCUACUGAGACACAUUAUUAUUAUUAUUAUUAUUAUUAUUAUUACUAUUAUUGCUAUUAUUAAAUAAAGCCGCAGAAUUGUAGAGUUGAAAAAGACCACGGGGGUCAUCUAGUCCAACCCCCUGCCAUGCAGGAAUCAUUUGCCCAAUGUGGGGCUUAAACCCACAACCCUGAGAUUAAUAAUCUAAUGAUUUACCGAUUUAUUACAAUUGCUGUUAUAUUUGUGGCCUCUCCUUCCUUGGAGGUUUUUUAAGCAGAGGCUGGAAGGCCAUCUGUCAUGUGUGAUCUAGUUUAGGUUCCUGCAUUGCAGGGGGUUGGACUAGAUGGCCAGGGGGGGUCCCUUCCCUUUCAACUCUAAUAAUUCUACGACCCUAUGAUUCAUUUAUAUUCUACAAUCCCCCAGACCAGGAGUCCAAGCGCUUUACACAAAUUAAAACAACGCAGGUAAAAGGCAGAAGGCUGAAAACGUAUUUUAAAUAGGACUUAAACUGUAAAAGGAUUAAAGCAAUAGAAAAACAGAUCUACAGUGGUACCUCAGGUACUUAAUUCGUUCCGGAGGUCCGUUCUUAACCUGAAACUGUUCUUAACCUGAAGCACCACUUUAGCUAAUGGGGCCUCCUGCUGCUGCCGCGCCACCAAAGCACGAUUUCUGUUCUCAUCCUGAAGCAAAGUUCUUAACCUGAAGCACUAUUUCUGGGUUAGCGGAGUCUGUAACCUGAAGCGUAUGUAACCUGAAGCGUAUGUAACCCGAGGUACCACUGUAUUAAAAGGCUGAUAGGAAAAGCAGUGCAGCACUAUUUAAAAUCCUGUUCUUUUUUUUUUUUUUUUUUUAAAGGCAGAACACCCCCCCCCCCCAAAUCUGGCUGGAAUAAAACAAUCUCUACCUGCCAGCAAAAGGAGAGCAAGGAUGGAGCCAAUCUAGCCUCCCUAGAAAGGGAGUUCCAAAGUCUGGGAGCCACCACUGAGAAGGCCCCGUAAAAAAACUUGCCUUAUACCAGGGCAUCUCAUUGUUCUGUCUAGCUCAUUAUUGACUGCAGAGACUGUCAGCCACACUCCUGGGUUUCAGGUAGGGACCACUCUCAGCCAGACCUGGAGAAUCUGAUAGCAGGACUGAACCUGAGACCUUUCCCACAAAAAACAGGUGCCCUCCCAUCGCAGUUGCAUCCGCACCGGACAUUCAAAGCACUUUUAUACCCCUUUAACAGUUGUGGGGGAUCCUGGAGGCUGUAGUUUGUUGAGGAUCCCGAGUACUGCAUCUCUGUGAGAGGUCAGCACCCUAAGCAAACUACAGCUCCCAGGAUCCUUUGCAAGGCGGGGAAAGAAAACCCGUGGCUGUUAAAGGGAUGCAGGAGUGCUUUAAAUGCAAGGAGUGGGCGUGACCUGAGAUGUGUGGUUGUGUGAAUCGAACCCCAGCUCUUUGCUCCUCUGCUGCUGAACCCCAGAGGCAGGCAGGGGCUGCCAUUUUUUGCAACCUUCCCCUUCGCUUUACUGCCUCCCAGUGGCUCAUAGCUUCCCCUCGGAUCUGGGAGAUGCUUCCAGGUGUGGAAGCAUCUUCGGAGAGGCCGUUCCUUGCACACAAGGAGGUUUCUCGCUGUCCUCUUCUGCACCAUCCCCUCUUCCCCAGAUGGCGGGUUAUAAACGUGGGCAAGCAGAACUGGCAGGGAGCUCCUGCUUUUUGCCCUGGAGCCGCAGCCUUGCCCACCCCCUCCUCUCUUCACCCCCUUCCUCCUGCUGCUGCCCUCCUCUGGGUACCAUGCCUCUCUCAGUUUCAGCAUCUUGCAAGGCUUUUUAAAGGAGAAAACAGCCGGCUUUGCCGGGUAUCCAACCUAAAAGCAGCGGCUGAAAUGUGCAGGGUCGCUUUAAUUGUUCAACCCCCCCCCUUUCUUCCUAUAGACUAGCAGAGGCAGGAAAAAAAAUGUUGAGAUCCAGCAAAGUGCAGAGGCAGACAGUGUCGUCUAGGGAAGGAGGGAGAGUCCAGGUUCCCGGACUAAUCUGCUGUGCCACGGAAUGCAAAUUUGCAAGGAAUUAGCUUUGCGAAUCCUCCUGGCACCUUUUGGCUUGGGAAGCCGUUUUCUAAAGACCUCUGUGGACGAGGCAUCAUCAUCUCUCUCUCUCUAAACUGGAUUUGAGGCUUGCUUUUCUGCAAUCUGACGGGUCCGUUCUCUUUUUCCCACCCAUCCGCCGCUCUCCAAUUGGAAUCGAGUUGGGUGGGGGGGGGGGGAGGAGAAGAGAUGCCCAGGCUUGAUUGAUAUUAAUAUUGAAGCCACGGCUGGGACCACGAGCUACUCCCUUGCCUGGCCACCUGGGUGCAAACUGUCACCGGAGGAACAAGUGUUGCUGGCUGGAGCCUUUAAGGGGAAGGAGAUCUGCAAAGGGGAGAGAGAUCGGUCCUGCAUUUUGGCUCUACAGCAUCUCCCUUUAAAGUUGCAGCCUAGGUAAGUUCUUUCUCUCUCUCUGAGAAUAAACACACAAUCUCCUGCCUUCGAUUUGGGCGCUGCUGUUGCCGGGCGAUGCGUCCCCUUCAACAGGUGAUUCCGCGAACUCUUAAUCCGCCAGCUUUUUAAAUAUUUAAUUGCAGAGAGUAAGGCGAUACUUUGUUGUUUUUCCUUACGAGCCGUUCUGCCUUAAUAAUGAAACAUCUGGGUCGAUUCCUAUCCGGACGCUGAACGAAAAGGAAAUGUAUCGGGGUUAUUAAAACAAGGUUGCUUGUGUUUGCUGCGUAGGGAAAUAAACCAAGAGGUGUGUGUGUGUGUCUGUGUGUUCUCAACUAAUACAUCCUAACAGCACAGAUUUUUGCACACUGUUGAUCCUGCCCAGGGUGACGUUUAGAAUAAAGGGGGGGGGGAGACCCAUCACCAUCGAUCAUGGGAUUAAUUGAUCGACCAACUGUAUGUGAAGUGCCAGUCCAAUGCUGAAAUCUUUGCUCCUGUGGCUUUGCAGCUGGGCAGCUUGGCUAAUUAAUCUGCGCAGGGUUAUGUAUGAGAUGAACGAAAAUUCAGAAGUGCCUAGCCGUUUGGGGUCCCCACCUCCCCGGAAAGGUACGACUUGUGUUUUGAUGGGCAAGAAUCUGAAGAUUCUGCCUUACCUGUAUUUCCAGCAUAGAAAUUCAGAGUUCUUUCUCGAGAUCCGUGGCGUGGGAGUUUAUCUGUUUGUUCAUAGGUGGGUGGGUGUGUGUGUGUUCACGUUUAUCUGACCAGAUGGAUGGAUUGAUGGAUAGAUUUUGGGUUUCACCCUGGCUGCCACUCCCCACUUCCCUGGUGGCGUUAAAGUUCCUGUAGUCCCGAGAUCUUCCUCCUCACGCUUCUGUCUGUACACAGCUUGCCAAUAUUAGGACACAGCUUCUCUGGAAAUAAUGUCCACCCCUCUCUCAAUUCUAUGAAGUACAGUGGGAAUACUCUGACUGUCUAAUCUCUGAUGCUCUCUGAUUAUUUAGCUCUCCCACAGCACUGUGGCCAGAUUGAUUCUUUCCCAAAUCCCUGCUAAUACGUCUUCGUUUUGUGGCUUAAUAGUUUCCGCUGAGUUGAAAUGGCCACAAGUUUGGAUCAAGGUGUCGUCUUCUUGUCGUCGUUAUUUCUCUCCCUGUCUGUAUUAUUACUUUCUUCUGCCUCACACACAUCUAGGGACAUGGAUUUCUUAUCUCAAAUGGUUUUGCAACACCAUCUUCUAUUUUGGGGGGGUCCAAAAUUCAGUAUAUUUUGGAUUUGUUGGUGUACCUUUGGCUAUCACAGAUGAAGAUCAACAUCUGCCUUGAAUUCUCUCGUUAAUUUAGUUUUAAGUGGGGAUCUUCAGACAACCUGUUGCUGCAGGCACACCUGUGCCCUAUCUUAGAAUCAGUGUGAAGGUGGUUGUUUUUUUUAAUGUUGUGGCAGGUUCUUGUGCUUUUAUUCAUUUAUUGGGGGGUGGGAAUUAUACACAUUUCUUCAUCAGGGAAAUGAAAAAUGCUCGUUCAACAGGAUGGCUUGUAGGACGGCUAUACUGUGAAUAAUCCAUAUCAUCUCGUUACCCCUGUGUGAUCCUGAGGGGUUUGGAUACCUCCAUUUCUGCUGUUGCUCACCGUUUAAAUGUAGCGUGUUAAAUUAGUUAUCCCCUUAGGAGCUGAAUGAUCUCGGAUCUUAGUUUUCAGUAGCUUAUGUGCAGGCGAAGAUCUUACCAGAUUGUGGCCCAUGCAAAAUUUACGUAGCAAUUAAAAAUCUGCAAGCCACUGCAUCCUCCUUAUUUAUUCCUAGUCAGCUCAUGUUAUUAUACCCAUUUCAUGGACAGGGUACUGUGAGGCUAAGACGACCCAACCAAGGAGCCUCUCCCACCCAGAUCCUUCCUCCGGAGGAUUUUAUCCCCUGGGCUUCCACAGCCUAGCCUUUGAGUCAACAGAAGACAUGGGAUUAGCUCUCUGAUUUUAUGCCGAUUGCAUAGGAUGCUUGUCUAGGAUCAUAGUGUGAACACCACGGUGGGAAAAAGUGUUCAGAGGUUGUGUGGCACAGAUGAUCACAUUUCUUUUUUAAAAAAACCCUGUUUGGAAGCAUGAAGGCUGGAUCCUUUUAAGAAACAAAACAGCAGAACACACAAAGCUGAGAUAGCUAAGAAUCUCAGGUGUUCCUCCUAGGACAAUGCAACUUGCCAGGUACUUUUCAAAGCGUGGCUUUUGAGUUUUUAUGUAGCAGAGCCUGUGGCUCUGGGGAUGUUGCUAGAAUCUUAUUAUUGAAUAGGACUUUAUUCGAUAUACGUCGUUCCAUUUUAAAGUUUUUGUAUUGGAUCUGAUUAUUAUAAGGCAUGUGUUCUUCGUUGUAUAUUUUGUAGCUGUACAUCGCCUUGGGCAUAGUAAGAAAGGCGGCAUACAAUUGAAAAGUGAAAUGAAACAAACUCCACCUAGCCUAGCCCACUGGUCAGGGAUGAUGGCAGCUGCACAUUCAGGGCGGCAGAGACACCGUCCCUGAUAGAAAUAAUUAUACUUAUAGAUCAGAAUGCGUUUAGGGAUUCAUCCAGUCUUGCAUUCUGUCCUCCACAAAGGCCAACCGGGUGGUUUGCUGCCUUGUUCCCCUUCAGAAACCAUGGACCUGCUUUUCUGAGUUUCCACUAGUAGACUUGACACCCGGUAAAACACCCUUUAAAAGCGGGGAAAGGAGACCAGUGCGUUCCCACGGUCUUGACAUUUCGCCUGUCCCGUUAGUCUUGUCCCUGUCCCUUCCCGAUCAAACUCGCAAUUGUGAAAACUCACUAUUGUCCGCUGCCAAAAAGAGGAGCAGUUGGCAUGGUGGGUUUUCUCUGUGUCCCUGUAGUUCCUUCCUCCAGAGUUGCUGUUGUUUUUUGGGGGGGCGGAAAACUAGCCGGCCUUUGUUUCUUGGUGACACCUGUAAGGGAAAACCAGCCAAGAUAGGGAGGAUGGGAGAAGAGAGAGCAAAAUAAAAAAUUUAAAAACAAACGUAGCUGCUUCCUGGUUGCUUUCGACAGCUGCCCAGUCCACUCGGUGGCGGGGAGACGUUCCCCCCCCCCUUUGGACUUUUCUCAGGGAGGCAGGCUUGCUCCGAAAAAGAGCCCCGGAUCGCGGACACCUUUGCCUGGGCUCGCUUGGUUGUUGUUGUUGCUCUUGUCCCUAGCGUUGGCUGGAGCCGAGCAGCUGGUUUCAGCAGCAACCUGUUUCCACUCCAGACACACGGUGUGUGUGGGUGGAUGUUUUUGUCUGUGAAGCCCUCAGCCGCUGGAGAAUCCCCUCCCGUUUCUGCCGGUGGGGGAUGAGAUUAAUUUUCCAUUUUGCAUCAUUAUACCCGUUUCUGCGCUCUCUGCCUUUAAAAAUUCGUUCUGCAGGCACUGUGUUCUGUGCACAGCCUCCCGGUGUAUAUAUGUAUGUGUGUGCUUGUGUGUUUGAGAGAGAGAUCCGUCCUAGGCUCCUAUUACAGAGGGGAAACUGAGGCUGAGAUUUGCUGUAGGUGUGUGGCAGGAAGACUUGAACUCGAGUCAAACUCUAUAGGGAGCGGGUGAAGGUUGCCAUCCUAGGAACGCGAAAUUGGCAGGUCAGGCCAAUUGUGUGCCGUUUUUUUGAGCGGUUUGAUAGUUUUGCAGCUUUGUGAGGAAUAUCUGUCAUCCGGCUUAGUACUGUCUGCACUGACUGACAGCUGCUCUUCAGAAUUUCAAAUGGGGGAUUUCUCCCAGCCUUGCCUGGGGAUCGAGCGUGAGACCUUUUCUACCAGAUGCUCUGCCCGUGAACUGUGCCUUCGUUCAGAGCCAAAUGCUCCCCUACCUAAACUGAGCCUAGAAACGCUGGUUUUCCUCUUCCUGGCUCACCCCUGGAAGUGUAACAAAACCGAUUUUGCCUCACAUCAUGUGCAGAGUGUUUCCCCGUCUUUACUGAACAACUCCAGCUUUGAUCAUGUUGGUGUUCCCUGUUGCAGAAUGUGAAUUAUUAUUAUUUUUUGCAGUCAAUGGAAAAGAAAGGAGGGGGGACAAUAAGGCUUCGGUUUCCUUCUCCCCUCAAACCUUCUUGCAAGGAAUUGAUCUCCGGUUUUACUUUCUUGGGUUCCAUGAUCACUGCAGAUGGUGACAACAGUCACGAAAUUAAAAGACGCCUGCUUCUUGGGAGCAAAGCGAUGACAAACCUAGACAGCAUCUUAAAAAGCCGAGACAUCACCUUGCCAACAAAGGCCUGUGUAGUUAAAGCUAUGGUUUUCCCAGUACAGUGGUACCUCGGGUUAAGUACUUAAAUCGUUCCGGAGGUCCGUUGUUAACCUGAAACUGUUCUUAACCUGAAGCACCACUUUAGCUAAUUGGGCCUCCUGCUGCUGCUGCGCCGCCAGAGCACGAUUUCUGUUCUCAUCAUGAAGCAAAGUUCUUAACCCAAGGUACUAUUUCUGGGUUAGCGGAGUCUAUAACCUGAAGCAUAUGUAACCCGAGGUACCACUGUAGUGAUGUAUGGAAGUGAGAGCUGGUCCAUAAAGAAGGCUGAUUGCCGAAGAAUUGAUGCUUUUGAAUUAUGGUACUGGAGGAGACUCUUGAGAGUCCCAUGGACUGCAAGAAGAUCAAACGUAUCCAUUCUGAAGGAAAUCAUCCCUGAGUGCUCACUGGAAGGACAGAUCCUGAAGCUGAGGCUCCAAUACUUUGGCCACCUCAUGAGAAGAGAAGACUCCCUGGAAAAGACCCUGAUGUUGGGAAAGAUGGAGGGCACAAGGAGAAGGGGAUGACAGAGGACGAGAUGGUGGGACAGUGUUCUCGAAGCUACCAGCAUGAGUUUGACCAAACUGCGGGAGGCAGUGGAAGACAGGAGGGCCUGGCGUGCUCUGGUCCACAGGGUCACGAAGAGUUGGACACGACUAAACGACUAAACAACAACAAAAAUAUAUUUCCUUCUCCAGAAGUCGCCUUAUUAAUUAAUUAAAAGGAUCUAUAACCCACCCUUUACCCGAAGGCACCAGGGCAAGAAUGGAUACAACCUGUGCCAAAAUCCAGCAAUUAUUUUAUAUAUUCCACAUUCGAAUUCUAUUCCGUACACGAUGGUACAUUUGAACAUAUGUCUUAGAAUCAACAAUCUUGUUUGGGCAUAUGGGCCGCCUCUGCAAAUAUCUGUGUUUAAGUCAGGAUUCGUAGACCGUUCUUAUUGUAAAUGGGAGAGCGCAUUUCUUUCUGUUGCAUUUGCAAUAAAAAUAAGGGUUAAAGAUAAUGUUAAAAGUGCGUAAAAAACAAAAGACAGACUUCCAGUUAAAAUCAUGGAAAGAUAGAAUUUGUAGAGUUGGAAGGGACCCCAAGGGACAUCUAGCCCAACCCCCUGAAAUGCAGGAAUCUCAACCAGAUCCUCCAUGACGGAUGUGCCUCCAACAUCUGCUUAGAAACCUCCAAGGAAGGAGAGGCCACCAUUUCUUGUGGAUGUCUAUUCCACUGUCAAACAGCUCAUACUGUCAGUUACAAAGAAACCAGCAACGAUGUCAGAUUUCCAGAUGCCCAGUGUUCAUAUGAUAGUUUAGUUGGCCAAGCAUCUCAGGUUCAUGAGUUCGAGCCCCACGUUGGGCAAAAGAUUCCUGCAUUGCAGGGGGUUGGACUAGAUGACCCUGGGGUCCCUUCCAACUCUAGAGUUCUAUGAUUCUAUAUCCCAGCUUUUUCUCCAAGGAGCUCAUGGUGGAACAGAUGGUUCUUCCCCUACCCCAUUUAAUCCCCUGGUCCACUACUCAUAAAGAAGGCUGAUUGCCGAAGAAUGAAUGCUUUUGAAUUAUGGUGCUGGAGGAGACUCUUGAGAGUCCCAUGGACUGCGAGAAGAUCCAACCUCUCCAUUCUGAAGGAAAUCAGCCCUGAGUGCUCACUGGAAGGACAGAUCCUGAAGCUGAGGCUCCAAGACUUGGGCCACCUCAUGAGAAGAGAAGACUCCCUGGAAAAGACCCAGCGAGCUUCAUGGCUGAGUGGGGAUUUGAAACCUGGUCUCUCCCAGGUCCUAGUCCAACACUAACCGACCUCGCAGGGUCAUUGUAGGGAUUAGCUGAGGAGUGGGGGUGAACGAUAUACUCCCAGGAGAAAAAGGGGGGAGAUGGAUGCAGUAUAUAAGACCCUCUACUUACCGGCUUAAAAAAGCUGAAGGAGCCAGCCAGAUAGAGAUGUCAGUCACCAAUCUGAUGUCCAGAGAUCUCAACAUGGUCGCAGUCAGAUCUGCGGCAGUCGCAAAAAGGCUCCUGGCGCCUGGCUAAUUUCAAACACAGAUUCUGACCCCAGCGGAUCUCCACCCCAUCAAUCGUAUUAGACGUUCAGCCCCAGAUUUAAAUCCUGCCAAGCGCAAGGCCCGCUUGCGGAGAGAGAAAUUGAGAGGGCAUGGCUGACGGGGACCGAUGGGAGCUGUCGACCGAAGGGCACCAGGUUGGGCAAGGCUGCUCUAGGGAGAGGUAGCGAGGGGUAGUGGUUAGAGUGCUGGACUAGGACCUUGGGAGACUGGGGUUCAGAUCCCCACUUUGGACCACUGCCUCUCUGCCUAACCUACCUCAAAAGGUAGUUGUGGAGGUCAAAUGAGGAUGAGUACCCCCCCCAUACAUACACAGGUAAUAGUGUAUAUAUUUCAAUGCUUUCCACUAACUAUCCCAGUGCAGUUGUACCUUGGUUGUCAAAUGCUUUGGUACUCGGACAUUUUGGCUCCCGAAUGCCGCAAACCCAGAAGUAAGUGUUUUGGUUUGUGAACGUUUUUUUUAGGAAGCCGAAUGUCCGAUUCGGCUGUUCGCAUUGUUUCUGGGUCCAAUCAGCCAAUCUGAAGCCGUGCCUUGGUCUGCGAACGUUUUGGAAGCCGAACGGACUCACAGAACGGAUCCCGUUCAAUGACCAAAGUAUGACUGUACAAGUGUUAAGUACCGUAUUUUUCGCCCUAUAGGAUGCACUUUUCCCCCUCCAAAAAUGAAGGGGAAAUGUGUGUGCGUCCUAUGGGGCGAAUGCAGGCUUUCGCUGAAGCCUGGAGAGUGAGAGGGGUCGGUACGCACCGACCCCUCUCGCUCUCCAGGCUCCAGGAAGCUAUCCACAAGCCUGCGGGGCCCGCGGGAGUUCCUGCUGGGCUCCCACGGCUUGUGCAGAUCUGCAUGGGCGCGCUGAGGAGUCGCGCCCCGGGCUUCAGGUAGCUCUCCGCAAGCCGUGGGAGGGCUCCCACGGCUUGUGGAGAGCAGCCUGUUCUGGGGGCUGGGGAAGCUCGGGCUUCCCCCGCCCCAGCCCCGCGCCUGGGGGGGUAAUAAAUUUUUUUUCUUUAUUUCCCCCCCAAAAAACUAGAUGCGCCCUAUGGGCUGGUGCGCCCUAUGGGACGAAAAAUACGGUAGCUACAGGGACCCCCUGGGAUUUAAGCGCUGGAUCUCUUGGAUCCCUUUUGAACCACACUGGUUACUUCCUAGUCCUUUGGUAUAGAGGCCAGGUUUGGGGACAAAUAGUGGCGCAUUUUUGCUAAAAAGACCAAAGAUUUUGCAUGUUGAAAGCUUCAGGAAUCCUAGAGUUGAAUGCUACCCAUCUCUGAUGGCUUGUCCUGCAUCCUUUUGCCACCUCUCUUUGACUUGGAUUCGAUUUACGAAUUUCCCUUUACAAUUGCAACUAGAGCAGGUCCAUAUAUAUAUAUGCCAAUGCACGGGUGGGUUCCUCUUCCUUGGCAGUUUUUAAGCUUAGGUUGGAUGGCCAUCUGUCAUGGAUGCUUUAGUUGAGAUUCCUGCAUUGCAACGCUCCAAUUCUCUGAUUCUAUGCUACCCCAGUCUCCGAGUGGUGAGAGACUCCAGAGGUUCUGGGGUUCGUUUUACUUGAAAUAAGGAACGGUGGAGACUGUGGAAUCUUUCAGAUAUAUGGUUAUUCACACAUGUAUACAACCAGAUCAGUACAACCAUACAAUCAACAACCUCAGAUAUGCAGAUGAGACAACCUUGAUGGCAGAAAGUGAGGAGGAAUUAAAGAACCUUUUAUUGAGGAUGAAAGAGGAGAGCACAAAAUAUGGUCUGAUGCUCAACAUCAAAAAAACGAAGAUCAUGGCCACUGGUCCCAUCACCUCCUGGCAAAUAGAAGGGGAAGAAAUGGAGGCAGUGAGAGAUUUUACUUUCUUGGGCUCCAUGAUCACUGCAGAUGGUGACAGCAGCCAUGAAAUUAAAAGACGCCUGCUUCUUGGGAGAAAAGCAAUGACAAACCUAGACAGCAUCUUAAAAAGUAGAGACAUCACCUUGCCAACAAAGGUCCAUAUAGUAAAAGCUAUGGUUUUCCCAGUAGUGAUGUAUGGAAGUGAAAGCUGGACCAUAAAGAAGGCUGAUUGCCGAAGAAUUGAUGCUUUUGAAUUAUGGAGCUGGAGGAGACUCUUGAGAGUCCCAUGGACUGCAAGAAGAUCAAACCUCUCCAUUCUGAAGGAAACCAGCCCUGAGUGCUCGCUGGAAGGACAGAUCCUGAAGCUGAGGCUCCAAGACUUUGGCCACCUCAUGAGAAGAGAAGACUCCCUGGAAAAGACCCUGAUGUUGGGAAAGACGGAGGGCACAAGGACGAGAUGAGGACGAGAUGGUUGGACAGCGUUCUCGAAGCUACGAACAUGAGUUUGACCAAACUGCGGGAGGCAGUGGAAGACAGGAGUGCCUGGCGUGCUGUGGUCCAGGGGGUCACAAAGAGUUGGACAUGACUAAAUGACUAAGCAACAACAGUAUACAACCAGAGCCUAAGAUGGCAGGGCUCAGGGCACCAGCACCCCAGAAGGUCUUGCUUCUCCCAUCGUCAAAGCCUUGCAUUCCAGCAGAAGCUGAGUGUGGCUCCCCCUCUCUGGCUUCAGCCUGCAGCCUGCUUCUAAAAACUACUGGCUAGUGUCCUUCUCACCACCAGUCAAGUGAGGAAGGGGUCCAGACAUCAGGCACAAAGCCACCCUCUUUUUAAUGCUAGCGACCAGACUUCUAGAAUUGUAAAGUCAGAAAGGACCUCAAGGGCCAUCUAGUCCAACCCACUGCAAUGCAGGAAUCUUUUGCCCAACGUGGGGCUCGAACCCAUGAACCUGAGAUCAAGAGUCUCAUGCUCUGCCAGUUGAACUAUCAUAUAUCAUCCUUCCUUGGGUGGCCAUCUGUCAUGGAUGAUCUAGUUGAGAUUCCUGCAUCGCAGGGAGUUGGACCCUUCUGUAAAUUCUGUGGUUCCAUGAUUUUAACUGGAAGUCUGUCUUUUGCUUUACAGUGGUGCCUCGCAAGACGAAAUUAAUUCGUUCUGCGAGUUUUUUCGUCUUGCGAAUUUUUCGUCUUGCGAAGCACGGUUUCCCAAAGUCUUCAAAAUCACCAAAGUCUUCAAAAACCUCAAAAAAGGCUACCACACCGCGUGCUAUGAGUUGCUCCUCGAAGUCACCCUGGGUAUUAACGGUUUUAAGAAAAAGGAAACAAACUUGCAAGAUGUUUUCGUUUUUCGUCUUGCGAAGCAAGCCCAUAGGGAAAUUCGUCUUGUGAAGCAACUCAAAAAACGAAAAACUUUUUCGUCUUGCGAGUUUUUCGUCUUGCGAGGCAUUCGUCUUGCGAGGUACCACUGUACGCUCUUUUGACAUUAUCUUUAACCUCCAUUGGAUUUUAACUCUUGCUGGAUCCAGGGCCCCAGGAAUCGCUUAAGGGACUCUGGCAUCAAGCAGACCAACCCCCACAGCACACAAACACACCCCACAGGCUUAAGAGCAUAAACAGGUACAUCUUCAAAGGUGAUGAAAGCUUCAGAAUGAGGGUGCCGAAUGCACUUCUGUGGGGAGGGAAUUCCAUAAGAUUAGAGUUUGUUGGCUGUUGGAUCUCCCUCCCUCCCUCCGAUAGUCUCCCUCCUUUAAAAAAUAAAAUAAAAUGCAAUUCUGUCUGUCCUACAUUUUCUGAAGUGAGGGCAGACACAAAGAAUUCAUUCAGCUGCCUUGCCCUGCUGUCUCCUCCUUUAAUGCUCCUUUCAGAAGUGCUUUGUCUUCUGUGGCCAGUUCUUCUAAUGUAUUGUAUUAUUAUUAUUAUUAUUGGGCUUAAACGGUCUUAGCAAUGGACAUUUCAGAUUCUCCUUUCCAUUCCCUUAUCAGCUGCGAACUUGCCAGAGUUUUUGCGUUCCUUUUUGGUCUUGUUUGGGCAAGACUUAAUGAGGGGCUCGCUUUGCCGUGUUCUCUCUCUCUCUAUAUAUAUACUUAUAUAUCACACCAUAAAAAAGACAAAACCAUGGGAACUAGUUCACCCACCACGGAACUACAACUCCCAGUACCAUUAACAACCACAGUUCCUGUGGAUUCUGGCGCGAGAGAGAAAAUGUGCUUUAAAUGUGCUGGGGUGACACUCCACCAGUCAGGCAGCCUGUUUUGCCGCCACAGAUCUGCACUGGAAACUGCCAGUACUGUAAUAUUGAUUGAUUGAUUGAUUGAUUGAUUUUAUUCUAUUUCUGUGCUGCUUUUUAUUCAAAUACAUCCCAAAGCGGCUUACAAACAAAAGAUAAAAUAUAACGGUGUCUGCACGGUAGAGCAUGGGCUUUUAGUCAGGCCUGAGCCCUGCCGCCAUAAAAGAAUCCUGCAUUGCAGGGGGUUGGACUAGAUGACCCCCAAGGUCCCUUCUGUUAUGUACUGAAGUUCUCACCCUGGGCCAGCAGGGGGAUACUGUGGCAUGGUUUCACCAGGGUCCACAUACAAACAAGUGGACUGAAAGUGACGCUCAGUGAUUGGAUAGUUAUGAAAGUUGUUACUGUUGUUUGUAGUGAGCUCGAUAUACAGAUUGGCUGAACCUCAGUCUGGGUUCCUGUUCUGUCCUGUGAAUAAAUAAGAGCUGUUUGAAGAAUCGCUGUGUUGUCUGAUAUGUUCACCCACAACAUAACACCUUCCAACUCUACAGUUCUGUGAUUCCUUUCAUGCGCUCGACGCUGUUUGGGUGCCAUUUGAGCCCUGUCCUUUCUUGCCAUCAUCCAGAAGGAAGCUACUCACCUGAAUUGCUCCUUUCUUCCAUUUCCAACUCAACUCAAGUCUAAGAUAGUUGGGACGAGGGUGGCGCUAUGGAUUAAACCACAGAGCCUAGGACUUGCCGAUCAGAAGGUCAGCGGUUCGAAUCCCCGCGACGGGGUGAGCUCCCCUUGCUCGGUCCUGCCCUGCCAACCUAGCAUUUCGAAGCACUGGUGCAAGUAGAUAAAUAGGUACCACUCCGGCGGGAAGGUAAACGGCGUUUCCGUGCGCUGCUCUGGUUCACCAGAAGUGGCUUUGUCAUGCUGGCCACAUGACCCGGAAGCUGUAUGCCGGCUCCCUUGGCCAAUAAAGCGAGAUGAGCACCGCAACCCCAGAGUCAGUCACGACUGGACCUAAUGGUCAGGGGUCCCUUUACCUUUAAGAUAGUUGCAAUUUCCACUUUCUGCAGCCUGUUCCUCUUUGCACCAGCUGUGGACCACCUGUUCCCUCUCACUUUUCAAAACGGCACUUUCUUCUUCCAUGAACAACUGGGCCUUUACGUUUCCGCUUGCCCUUUUCACGCACAGACUUUGUCAUUCCAUCCCGGUGCUUUUAUUUCAACUUGUGGCAAUUGGCUUCUCUGCCGAGUCUUCGCCAACGGGCGCGGAGAAGUUAUUUUUGCUCUUCCCGCUGGCUCUCCGGCUCCCGUGGGCUCCAUUUGCAGACGCACACAGCAGCUGCUACGACUGGGAUCCUGCCGGGCUGCAAGCUUCCUCUGUGGCAAAGGGGAAACAUAAAGUGAAUGGAACGAUGCUUUCUAAUGGGUCCAGCUGGCGGCUUUUGAACUGUGUGCUCUUCGUUAGGGAUGCUUGCAUACAGUUUCGAAAGAGAGAUGGAGAUGGCUUGGCUGCAUCUGUGAAACCAUAUCCAGUAGCAAAGGAUAUCUAACUAGGUUUCAGGUGCCUUGUGGUCUGAAGUUCAUUUUUUGUUCCACACACUCCACUGCCCAUUUCCCGUUAUUAGAGACAUGUGGAGGAUAAGUGAUUUUCCUUGGUACUCAGUUGGUGAAUCUGAACCACACCAAAACGUUCUACAUCAGCAUCAGCACUGAGGUUGAAUCCUGACAAGACGGAAGUACUGUUUUUUGGGGGACAGGGUGCAGGCGGGUGUGGAGGACUCCCUGGUCCUGAAUGGGGUAACUGUGCCCCUGAAGGACCAGGUGCGCAGCCUGGGAGUCAUUUUGGACUCACAGCUGUCCAUGGAGGUGCAGGUCAAUUCUGUAUCCAGGGCAGCAGUCUUCCAGCUCCAUCUGGUGCGCAGGAUGAGACGCUACUUGCCCACAGACUGUCUUGCCAGAGUGGUGCAUGCUCUAGUUAUCUCCAGCUUGGACUACUGCAAUGCGCUCUAUGUGGGGCUACCUUUGAAGGUGACCCAGAAACUACAACUAAUCCAGAAUGUGGCAGCUAGACUGGUGACUGGGAGUGGCCGCCAGGACUACAUAACACCAGUCCUAAGAGAUCUGCAUUGGCUCCCAGUACAUUUCCAAGCACAAUUCAAAGUGUUGGUGCUGACCUUUAAAGCCCUAAAUGGUCUCAGCCCAGUUUACCUGAAGGAGCAUCUCGACCCCCAUCGUUCAGCCCGGACACUGAGAUCCAGCUCUGAGGGUCUUCUGGCAGUUCCCUCACUGCGAGAAGCAAAGCUAGAGGGAACCAGGCAGAGUGCCUUCUUGGUGGUGACGCCCACUCUGUGGAAUGCCCUCCCAUCAGAUGUCAAGGAAAUAAACAACUACCAGACUUUUAGAAGACAUCUGAAGGCAGCCCUAUUUAGGGAAGUUUGUAAUGUUUGAUGUUAAUGUGUUUUUAAUAUUCUGUUGGGAGCCACCCAGAGUGGGCAGGGAUAAAUAAUAAAUUAUUAUUAUUAUUAUUAUUUACAUCUGCUGUUGUCUGUCCGGUGUGAUGGCUGUUGUGAGUCUGAAGUUGUUGUGAGUCUGAAGUUGAUCUCUUGGUGGCUCCAGCAGGAAAACCAUGGGAUUCAGUGGUUUGUAGAAGUUCCUUCUUAGGGGCUGCAGUUUCCUGCAAUAUGCAGUUUUCUUGCUUCCUCUAGAGUCACUUUUGCCAGCCUAGAGGUUCCAAUUUAUUUCAUUUAUCUAUUUUGACAAUGUAUAUACUGCUCAACUGCAGCAGUCUUUACAAGCAACUCAGUCCAGUGAAAACAAAAGCAGUUAAGUUCAUAAAAUGCUUGCUGGAAUGAAAAGUGUUCGGUGUGAUGGACGUUUAACGUAUUGCAAAAUUUGUUAGGAUGCUUUAACCUUUCUCUUCUGCAUAUUGCAAAGCACAGCUAAUACAUAAACACAUACAUCAGACAUGGAGUGAAAACUUAAUUCCUAAACGUUAGGAAAUGAACUUGCAUUCAUUUAGCGCCUGUUUUUUUUAGUAGAGCACUGUAUUGGCCUGCCCCUACAACUUCCCUCUACUUAUAUUUUUCUGUCCUCCUCCUACCCUGUUCAGAAUUCGUUUCCUACCCCCGUUCAGUUGGCAUUUCGGCAGGCAGAGAUCCAUCCAGUCCAGGGGUCAGCAAACUUUUUCAGCAGGGGGCCGGUCCACUGUCCCUCAGACCUUGUGGGGGACUGGACUAUAUUUUGGGAAGGAAAAAAAAUGAACGAAUUCCUAUGCCCCACAAAUAACCCAGAGAUGCAUUUUUAAUAAAAGGGCACAUUCUAUUCGUGUAAAAACACGCUGAUUCCUGGACCGUCCGUGGGCCGGAUUUAGAAGGCGAUUGGGCCGGAUCCAGCCCCCGGGCCUUAGUUUGCCUACCCAUGCUCCAGUCCAUCUCUCAUUGGGCAGGAUUGCUGAAUCAUUUCUUCCAAAUCCUUUUCAUUUCCUCUGUGCCCGCAGAGCUUCAAGCUGUAGCAGUAUUCAAAUCUUUCCUUCCUCUUUGCAUAUUAGAUUGUUCUCUCUCUCUCUCUCUCUCUCUCUCUCUCUCUCUCUCUCUCCAGCUUUCUCUCUUCAUAAAAUGCCUCUUCUCUUCUCCCUAGAGGGAAUUUGUGCUCUUUCUGGUCUCUGCUUAUGGGGCACAUAGCUUAUUGCAAGGCCCUGGCCUCCACUUGCCCCCCUUGCCCAUCUCUUUCCACCUGAACUCCUCUGUGACCCUUCCUAACUUGGCUACAGCCCUCUGUUCUUUGAGUUUUUCAUCAUCCUUUGAAGCUGUGUACACCUGGGUACCAAAGGCUGAUUGAGUCCUCACUAUUACUGUGACACAGCAAGGGACGGGCAUGAGGUCACUUGCCUGGUUAAACUGGAACGGUGCUUUGCAGAAGCAUCGUAAAGAACUGGAAAGUACCUAGGAGGUCAUUUGUUGUUGUUUAGUCGUUUAGUCAUGUCCGACUCUUUGUGACCCCAUGGACCAGAGCACACCAGGCACUCCUGUCUUCUACUGCCUCCCGCAGUUUGGUCAAACUCAUGCUGGUAGCUUCGAGAACACAGUCCCACCAUCUCGUCCUCUGUCGUCCCCUUCUCCUUGUGCCCUCCAUCUUUCCCAACAUCAGGGUCUUUUCCAGGGAGUCCUUUCUUCUCAUGAGGUGGCCAAAGUAUUGGAGCCUCAGCUUCAGGAUCUGUCCUUCCAGUGAGCACUCAGGGCUGAUUUCCUUCAGAAUGGAGAGGUUUGAUCUUCUUGCAGUCCAUGGGACUCUCAAGAGUCUCCUCCAGCACCAUAAUUCAAAAGCAUCAAUUCUUUGGCAAUCAGCCUUCUUUAUGGUCCAGCUCUAACUUCCAUACAUCACUACUGGGAAAACCAUAGCUUUAACUAUACGGACCUUUGUUGGCAAGGUGAUGUCUCUGCUUUUUAAGAGUUUUGACCAAACGUGAUCCACCUGGAGCAGGAACCGGCAAGCCACUCCAGUAUCCCUGCCAAGAAAACUUCAUGGACAAAGACAACAGGAGGUCAUAGAACCCAUAGAAUUGUAGAGUUGAUCAUCUCGGUCGCUCUCCUCUGUACACAUUCCAGCUUGUCAACAUCCUUCUUAAAUUGUGAUGCUCAGAACAGGACCCAGAUGUGGUCUUACUAUCUCAACCCCAGCUCAUUGUAGGAGCUGCAAUAUGAGAUGCCUGGCCUUUGCUUCCAUUGCCUGGGAUGCUGUCAUGGUUGUUUUCAGUGUCUGCAGCUGAAAAGUUGUGUAGAACCCAUGGUGGGUUCGGAGGGAGGGCAGGUGCUGAUGUUGUGCAUUGAACAGUUACGAUGCCUGGUUUGCACUGGAAAACUUUACGGUCCCAAAAAUCUACAGACAGCUCCCGUCACCGAUUUAUUGCAAACUUAGAAAACAGGAACAGAACAAAUGGAGGAAUGAGAAGCACACAUGCAGAGAGGGGCAGGCGCACGACCGGAAGCAAUCUGAUACUGACACACGAAGGGCUUUUAUUCUUGCUAGAAGCUCCGCCUUGCCCUCACCGGUUCUGGAAGGCUCCUAUAGAAGAGUCUUAUACACACAGAGACUUUGUGCCUGCCCAUUAGGGGAAAUAGGAAGCCCCAAACAUAUAUUUUUUAGAUGUCCUUUUUAUGUUGAGAUUCGUAGAGACACCACUGAUCCUUUGCUGAAGAGGCUCGCUGAUCUUUCAGACGAGUCUAAAUUUAAUUCUCUCCUCUUAGGCAAAGAUCACAAGACGACCUGGCUGGUAGCCAGAUUCUGCACCCAGAUUUGUAGGCACAGAUCAUCCUCUAGAAUAAAAUAGCUUACUAGGGAAAUGCUGAAGUUGCCCUUUGGGGCGCCUCAGGGUCAAUUUUUUAUGGCAGCCCAAAUCUCCAUUGUGCGGGUGUAUGGAUAUAUCUCAAUUUUAACUCAUGAACUAUUGCUGCAAUCUGCUCCGAUAGUAUAUUUUAUCUUUAUGAACGGUGUUUUUAUUGUGUCAUUUAUGUGAACUGGUAUUUGACCGUAAUAAAUUAUCUAAUUUGAUGCUGGCAUACUCUUUAAAAAAACAAAAACACCAGCACAUCUACAGUGGUGCCUCGCUAGACGAAAUUAAUUCGUUCUGCGAGUUUUUCGUCUUGCGGUUUUUUCCGUCUUGCGAAGCACGGUGUCGGAAAAGUUUUGGAAAAGCUUUAAAAAAUCACCAAAGUCUUCAAAAACCUCAAAAAAGGCUACCACACCGCGUGCUAUGAGUUGCUCCUCGAAGUCAAGUCGCAACUGUAUUAACGGUUUUAAGAAAAAGAAAACAAACUUGCAAGACGUUUCCGUCUUGCAAAGCAAGCCCAUAGGGAAAAUCGUCUGCGAAGGAACUCAAAAAACCAAAAACCCUUUCGUUUUGCGAGUUUUCCGUCUUGCGAGGCAUUCGUCUUGCGAGGUACCACUGUAUAUCCAAAAACUGCAAGCAGGAGCUGGGUUUCUUUGAGAUUGGUGCAGGUCCAGUUACCCAGGUAUCUGGCAUGUUUUGUAACUGAUGUGGGUCCAGUUGUGGCCACGUGGAGAUCUAUGGAUCUCAGGUUGGCGACUGACCUCUCCACCUGGCUGGCCCUCCCAGCUUUCUUAAGCAGGUGAGCAGAAGAGCUUUUUAUAUCCCACCUUUUUCUCCAGGGAGUACGUGGCCGUCUCCUUCCCGCUCAGUUAAUCCCUACAACUCCGCGAGGUAGAUUAAGACUGACUCCAAGGUCACCCUUCAUGGCUGAGUGGGGAUUUGAAUCCUGAUCUCCCAGGUCCUCAUCUGACACCCUAACCCCACUGGCUUCCUAGAGUACUGCCAGAGGCAGCUUCCCCAGUGUGCUUAAGGAUAGGGCCGGCUGUCUGCCUUAAUGUCCUUGCAAGAAAGACAGGCUGGAAGUGUGAUGAAUAAUAACAAGAAAGAGGGAAAUUAAAACCCUUGUUGCUCCUUCGGGAUGGAGAGAGGGGUCCCCUCUGCUGGUUCCCGUGCUAUUUUUAAAAAACGGAGGCGGCUUCUUUCUGCAAAGCAAUCCCUUUAGUGCCUGCAGAGAGCGAUCCUGGCAGGGGGUCUACUGUAGCCGGCGCCUGGCUGGGUUGGGAAAUGAGAGGGGCUCAGAAGCUGAGCUGCGAAACCUCCCUUUCACUCUUCUCCCUUGCCUGUGAAAUCAGAGCAACCAGAAAGUCGUGUUGAAAAAUAAUACAACUUUUGAGCUGUCUGCCCCCCAAAUGGCAACGAUGCUUUCUGUUUUGAAGAAGAAGAAGGGUUUGGAUUUGAUAUCCCGCUUUAUCACUACCCUAAGGAGUCUCAAAGUGGCUAACAUUCUCCUUUCCCUUCCUCCCCCACAACAAACACUCUGUGAGGUGAGUGAGGCUGAGAGACUUCAGAGAAGUGUGACUGGCCCAAGGUCACCCAGCAGCUGCAUGUGGAGGAGCAGAAACUCGAACCCGGUUCACCAGAUUACGAGUCUACUGCUCUUAACCACUACACCACACCGACUGUAACCCUGGUUUAAAGAGCCGUUUCAAGCCUGGCUUAUACAGUCAUACCUCAGGUUACAGACGCUUCACGUUGUGUGUUUUUUGGGUUACGGACCGCCGAAACCCGGAAAUACCAGAACGGGUUACUUCCGGGUUUUGGCGGUCGCGUAUGCACACAAGUGCUAAAUCGCACUUUGUGCAUGCACAGAAGCAUUGAAUCGCAACCUGCACGUGCGCAGACAUGGGUUGCGAAUGCUGCGGGUUGCGAAUGUCCAUUCUGCACGGAUCACGUUUGUAAACCGAGUGUCCACUGUAUAGUGAGUUGAGUUUCUAACCCUGCCUGUAGAGUAGUCCAACUAAAGGAGCAAAAUUGGGUGUGUUUUUGGCUUAGGGAGCGAGCAGCCCAGAUUCGGCCUAGAUGCAACCCGCCCCCCCAUGACUGCCUCCGAACCGAAAUCUCAUUUUGAGACGCAGAGCUUGGCAAGAUCAAUAAACGAACCACAUUAGGGACUUAAGCAACCAACUGCAGGAUUUUGGAACUAUCCAAACACGAGCCUGUUUCUUGUCCCCUGGGGUUGCUGUGGGAUUGUCGGAGGCAGGCACCAACCUGGACCCCUUCUCAGAGAUGGCUCCGUUGUGGAUGCUUUUGCCCUCUGCCCAUAAUAAUAAUAAUAAUAAUAAUAAAAUAAUAACAUUUUAUUUAUAUCCCACCCUCCCCAGCCAAAGCCGGGCUCAGAGCGGCUAACAACAAUAAAAGUAACACAACAUUCUAAAAUCAAUUCAUUUUAAAAUCAGUUCAAAAUUAAAUCAAAUUAAGUUCAAAAUCAAAUUAAUGUCAACCAAGGUAUGAGGUAAGGGAGGGAGGUAGGAGGGAGGGAGGGAGACUGACAGGCAGGCGCCCCCGGGUCCUCCUGACUGGGUGCUUCUGUUUCCUCUUCGUUUUCAUGGGCGGGUGUUUUUCCUCCUUAGCUGUGGUUCUGAGUGAUGCCGCACAAUAUGAGGGAGGCCUGACCUACUUAGCGAGCUUGUACAGCAUUUCUUAUUUCUCAUUAGCGAGGCUUCUCCUUCCCUGUUUCUGUCAAUCUCUUCAGCCGCAAAAGAAGCAAAACUGGGUUAGGGCUUGAAGUUUGACAAAGGUGUGUUGGCAGCGGAGAUGUGUUUGGCGCCGGGAAGGAGGGGAAGGUUUCCUAAUGCAUUUUUUCAGCAGAAACCGGAACAGAAUUAAUGAUCAUUCACAUGAGCUUAGCUUCUCUGCUGGGGAAAUACAGCGGUGUCUUGACCCAAGUGAAGUUGUUGGCAUUUUCCCAUUCUUAAGAUCUGUGACAAAGUUAAGGUAAAGGUAAACGCACCCCUGACCAUUAGGUCCAGUCGUGACCGACUCUGGGGUUGCGGCGCUCAUCUCGCUUUAUUGGCUGAGGGAGCCGGCGUACAGCUUCCGGGUCUUGUGGCCAGCAUGACUAAGCCGCUUCUGGCGAACCAGAGCAGCGCACGGAAACGCCGUUUACCUUCCCGCCGGAGCGAUACCUAUUUAUCUACUUGCACUUUGAUGUUCUUUCGAACUGCUAGGUUGGCAGGAGCAGGGACCGAGCAACGGGAGCUCACCCCGUCGCAGGGAUUCAAACCGCUGACCUUCUGAUCGGCAAGUCCUAGGCUCUGUGGUUUAACCCAUAGCGCCACCCACGUCCCGUGACAAAGUUAGUGAGUAGUUAAUAAAGUGAGUAGUUCAAAAUGUUGGUGCUGACCUUUAAAGCCCUAAAUCCGGGGUAGGCAGCCUAAGGCCCAUACAAACACACACCUUAUAAAACCGCUAAACUCCACCUUCCCACCCUCCUGGUGGUACGAAAUAACCGGCCAAAUGUAGGCACAAACCCUCUCUUUCCUUAACUGUCCACCUAUUGAAUCCUGGGCCAACAGCCAAAAAAAGGCCAAAAUAUGGAUGAAUAAAGACUGUCCAGCAUCUUGCAUCCGGAAGAGGCUGCUGUCUGUGAGCCUGUUCACUGAUCCUUGAGGAAGUGUACCUUACCCUUUCAUAAACAGACCUUGUCUCAAAAGUUCUGUAAGCAGCGGCUGCACGGACACCCUAAUAGGAUGUUGCAAAAGCAAAUUUGGAGUGUCUGUUCAGGGUUUGACUGGAAGGUGCACCUCCCAGCUCCAACUCUUUGGAAAGGGGUGCGCAGGAAAGAGACUGUAAAGACAGAAGCUUAGUGAAAUAUUGUGGGCAAAUCAUUUUAUGCAUUAAUCAGAUACAGUGGUACCUUGGUUCUCGAAUGCUGCAAACCCAGAAGUAAGUGUUCUGGUUUGCGACCGUUUUUCUGCAGCCAGUCGGAAGCCGCGCCUUGGUUUUCGAAUGGUUUCGGGAGCUAAACAGACUCCCGGAAUGGAUUAAAUUCAAGAACCAUGGUACCACUGUAUUGUGAAGGCCCACUAAGGCAUUGACAGCAAAUUCCCCUGUCUCUCCCCUGCCCUCGUUGUAAUUUAGAGCCAUUUGCACCCAGCAAUCUGUUGCAAAAUGUAGGGUUAGGGUGGGUUUUGAACCUGGAGGACCUGGGUUCGAAUCUCACCUUGGCCCCAGGCUCAGCUGCUUCCAGUAUCCUUGGGAGUAGGGAAGGACCUCCUCAGAUCUUGCAUGGCUUUGUUGUGAUCCCUGCAACAACUGUUUGGGGUUGUGUCUUGUGCUGGCCUUGGGCCUAACGUUGCAUUCCAGGACAGUUGCCUUUCUAAAUCAGUGAGCGGAUAAUACAUUCAUCUUUUGCACUGGAGAGAAUUGGUUCCCUUUUGGGCAGCGGUAGAGCAUUUGCUUGGCAUGCAGAAGGUCCCAGCCAGGUGCAAUCCUGAGCAUCUCAAGGAAGGACCAGGAGAGACUCAGGCCAGAGAAUCCUGGAGAGCUGUUGCCAGUUAGAAUGGACGGUAUGUUGCUAGAUGAACCAAUGGCCAUACCAAGUCAGUUUCAUGUGUUUUAAAACCAAAGGGCGUCACUGAAGUGCCACAGAAUGGUGGGUGGCAAGAAGACGAGACGGUGACCCCGUUCUGUGCCUGCCCCAAAGCUUAGUGCCCUUCCUUUCCCUGGUGCCUGCUCUUCUUUCUGAAUCUCAUUGUGCUCAUCCAUCACCCCUAUCACGGUGAGAUUCCUAGCAGCCUGUUUGCCUGGAAAUGAAGACGAAAGUUCGGGAUGAAUCCAGAUAGGAUGGCUUCAACUUGCACAUGGGACGUUUAAGAGUUGCCAUUUCGGUAAAAACACGUCGACUGUAGUCUACUUUUUCACGAAGCGCAUUGUCAAAGGAAGGCUCACCUGGAGCCUUUAUAGCAUGUAUUUAGGCACCAAGCAAAAACUUUAUUCUAUAACCAGGCUUUUGACUGUCUGUGGCCUUUUAGAAGUGGGUGAGAUGUUUUUAAUCCAUUUCUUUCCCCUCUUGGGUUUAAUGAAUCUCUGUGGGAGGUUUUGCCUGUCUGUUUGGUUGGUUGUAAGUCGUUUCUGUGAGAUAAAGUGAAUACUAAUAAUAAUGAAUACUAAUAAAUAAAGGCUUAUGGAAACCCCUAUAAAAUGGGGAGUUUUGCAGGGCCGUGGAACAGUGGCUUAACUGUAAAUGAUUUUGGGCAUCUGAAUAAAAGGACGUGAUGGGUGGAAACAACAGCAUGGAACUGGGGAGGUAUCCCCUUCAGGUUGCCCCCAAGUUAGAAAUGCUUCUGUGAAGUAUUCGGAGAAUGCAAGGUUGUCUUUUUAUGUUGGGGAUAUAGCAGAGCUCAGGAGACUGGAAUUUGCAGGUUUUGUUAUGUUUUUAAUAUCAAGGAAGCUGGCUGGCAAGACACUCAGCCGCAUCUUAUGAGGAAUUUAAUAACGGUAUGUUGUUGGAUGCAAAUGUGCAAAUGUGAAAGGGGGAAAAAAUCUAUGAAAUGAAAAGAGAAAAAGAAAGAGAGGCAAUAUCCCUUCUUGUCUCUCAGCUGCAGUUGACCCCUUCACCUUGAUGGGGCCGGAGUUUCAAGACGUUCCUUUGCAGCAUCCCUUAUUAAGGAAUGUUUUCAGUUCCAGGGUAAUAUUCCUCGUGUCAGAAUGGCUCAACGCAGAAGCACUGCAGAACGCACACGAGCUAAUAAUAUUCUGACUAUUAUUAUUUUUUGAAAAAACAUUGAUCUGACAAGCCUGCUCCUGUGCCUUGUUCUGUUUUCUUGUGCUUUCCCGAGAUUCCGGUAUUUGCACAGCAACAUGUCUUGAGUGUGUUCUGUCUCGGGGACAUUUCUGAAAACACUGCCGUAUAAAGGCACAGCCCUACAAAUUGCUCUGUUCUUCUAGAUCUCUAUCUCUUUAUCGAACGUUUUGUGCAUGGGAUCCUCUUCUUAUCGAAUGCUUCAUGCAUGGGGUCCAUUGCGGCCUCAUUCUGCGACAAGAAGUAUAAGGGCUGCAUCUAGACGUAGGAGGAGCAGAAUCAACACCUGCAUGCUCAGGUCCACAAAGCAGAUACCUGUUCGAAUUCCUAGCCCUGGGACCUAAUGGCUUCCAAUGUGGCUGCACUCACGUGCAAUGUUAAACCAGACCUCUCCAAAGUGGUGCUGUCCAGGUAAUUUUUGUCGUUUAGUCGUUUUGUUGUGUCCGACUCUUCGUGACCCCCUGAACCAGAGCAUGCCAGGCCCUCCUGUCUUCCACUGCCUCUCACAGUUUGGUCAAACUCAUGCUGGUAGCUUCGAGAACACUGUCCAACCAUCUCAUCCUCUGUCGUCCCCUUCUCCUUGUGCCCUCCAUCUUUCCCAGCAUCAGGGUCUUUUCCAGGGAGUCUUCUCUUCUCAUGAGGUGGCCAAAGUCUUGGAGCCUCAGCUUCAGGAUCUGUCCUUUCAGUGAGCACUCAGGGCUGAUUUCCUUCAGAAUGGAGAGGUUUGAUCUUCUUGCAGUCCGUGGGACUCUCAAGAGUCUCCUCCAGCACCAUAAUUCAGAAGCAUCAAUUCUUUGAUGAUCAGCCUUCUUUAUGGUCCAGCUCUCACUUCCAUACAUCACUAGUCCAGGUAAUAAUAUAAUAGUAUUAUUUGUCGCCUGCCAUCUGAAUGGGUUGCCCCAGUCACUCUGGGUGGCUUCCAUCAGCUACAAAAACAUAAUCAUGGCUGUCUUCUAAAACAUGGGACACGGGUGGCGCUGUUGUCUAAACCACUGAGCCUCUUGGGCUUGCCGAUCAGAAGGUCGGUGGUUCGAAUCUCCGUGACAGGGUGAGCUCCCGUUGUUCGGUCCCAGCUCCUGCCAACGUAGCAGUUUGAAAGCACACCAGUGCAAGUGGAUAAAUAGGUACCACUGCAGCAGAAAGGUAAACGGCGUUUCCGUGCGCUCUGGUUUCUGUCGCGGUGCCCUGUUGCGCCAGAAGCAGUUUAGUCAUGCCGGCCACAUGACCCGGAAAACUGUCUGUGGACAAACACCGGCUCCCUCGGCCUGAAAGCGAGAUGAGCGCCGCAACCCCGUAGUCACCUUUGACUGGACUUAACCGUCCAGGGGUCCUUUACCUUUAAAAAAACUUGUAUGUAGAACUUCUGUCUUAUUUUCAUCUGGCAGGAGGGCUUUGCACAGGGCGGGCGCCACUACCAAGAAGGCUCUGCCUGGUUUGCUAGACUACAACUCGCACCAUCCCAGAGUCCCUCAACUUCUGGAGAUUCGAAAUCCUUGCCUUAAGAGGCAAGGGCUCAUUUUUUUUGAUAUACGAGCACCUGGAGGAAAGUGAGGGAUGUGCCUGUAAACAAAGGCAGAGAUGGGCCACCCUGGGAUUAUGUAACGGUGAAAGAGAGUAGCCUCUUUGCUGCCUCCUGGCAAACCUUGUGUGCCGUUUCACGUUGCAUUAGCCUCUUGUGUGAGUCGCCCCGAAGCUUUGUGCCUUUCCCGGUGCCUGCUCUCUUUCCGAAUCUCAUUGUGCUCAUCCAUCACCCCUAUCGCGGUGAGAUUCCUAGCAGCCCGUUUGCCUGGAAAUGAAGACGAAAGUUCAGGACGAAUCUGGAUAGGAUGGCUUCAACUUACACAUGGAACGUUUAAGAGUUGCCAUUUCGGUAAAAACAUGUCGACUUUAGUCUACUUUUUCACGAAGUGUGUAGUUAAAGGAAGGCUCACCUGGCGCCUUUAUAGCAUGUAAUUUGACACCAGGCAAAAACUUUAUAAACUUCUAUAUUCUAUUCUUUAUUCUAUAACCAGGCUUUUGACCAUCUGUGGCCUUUUAGAAGUGGGUGAGAUGUUUUUAAUCCAUUUCUUUUCUCUCUUGGGUUUAAUGAAUCUCUGUGGGAGGUUUUGUCUGUCUGUUUGGUUGGUUGUAAGUCGUUUUUGUGUUGCCCUGGGUGAGAUAAAGUGAAUACUAAUAAUAAUGAAUACUAAUAAAUAAAGGCUAAUGGAAACCAGCGCUUGCAAAUAUACCUACGUUUUCAUAUGAUAAAUCCAUGUAACGGAGACAUUCCAGAAGAAAAGUGAAGCAUGCCGAAGAAUAAAUGUCCAUUCGUUUAAAAAGAAACCCCUGAAUUGUCUGAGCUGCCCUCUUAAUUUGUUUUUCUCUCAUUUCACCUCUUAGAAAGCCCACCGGCAGCGAUGUCCAGGAACGGCU